AGCUUUGUCAGAAAUAAGGGCAAGAGGUUCUCGGCACAAAUGAUGCCAAACAUCCUUCAUCUUAGGUAACUCAGCACACGCUUUAUGUAGGAAGAAAGAACAAAAUGAACAGGAGUAAAAUGGUCCCGAGAUUGGCAACAAACACCCGUCACAACGAUUUUCAUACCUUCCAACAAAGGGACUUAACAUUAGAUUAUGUAUAUGCUUGAAAUGUUUUAUUUUUGUAGCUUCUCCGGCAUCAUUGCUCUCUAAGACAGUGAUGGAACUUUCAUAGGGAAUCUCAUCUUCAUUUUCUAGUGAAACUAUUGAAUAUGAGCGUUUAUCCUCUGUCACACAAUGCACAUGGAAUAUAACAUUGCACUUUGAACAAUAGUAACUACCAUGCUCUGUAUCGACUUCAUCAUGGCAUAUCAUGCAAAUUAAAACUCCAAAAUCUUCUAUGUGAUGGAAAUAUGUGUGAAGAAGGCGAUGGUCAUGCCACUUACUUUUGAUAAUGCGAGGCAAUGAAAUGUAAUUUUUAUGGAUUAUAAUGUUGCAUGUACCACAUGUAUAGGCAACAUGAUUUCCUUCGACACCACACGCAUCACAAGUGAAUGGAACUUGUCUCAGAAACAAGGUGAAUGGAUGUCCAUGAUUUGUACUCUUAAUAACUUGUAAUGGUGAUUGUGAUGCACAUUCAAUGUGAACAACAAACUUACAAGGAGAGCAACCAUAAACAAAUCCUAUAGCCUCUCGAUUUGUUUCUCCGCAUAUCUUGCAAGGGAGUCGUUGGCUAUUAAAUUGUAGAACAAGAGGAUGCUUGCGAUGGCACACAUGAUUCAGUUUGAAAGGAAGCUUAGCGCAUUUCUCAUGUGAAUUAAAUCCAAAGUCAGGACAAAAGUGUGUAUACUUUUCUAAUGGUUCCCAACACACAAAGCACUUAGCAGCAUCUUUGAGUUUUUCAUCACCAUUUUCAGUGGAAAUCAAAGGAUGUUGAAGGGGAACAUGCUCAAGCUCUUUCAAGUUAUUCUCAGCAAUAUUAAAUGUAAAUAAAGCACAUUUAAUAUGAAAGUCAAAAUUGCAAGAGCAGUGAUAAACAAAAUCAUAACCGCCUUUACCGCAAAAAUUGCAAAUGUACCCUCCAGGUGAAUAAGGUGCAUUUUGCAUAAGAAGAAGAGGAUGGUUGAGAUGAAAAGGGUGAUUAAGCUCCAAAGGUGCGUCGGCACAUACCUUGUGAAGGUAAAACCCGCAGUGCUCCACACAGCAUAAACAUGGAGUAGACACCUUCUCCCCACACCUGGAGCAAUCAGUUACACCACUUUGAUUGUAGAUCAGCUGGUCUUGAUUCAAGAUAAGAAGCAGGGGAUGUUGGUGCCCAUAAUUGUUUGACUCCUCCAUUUCUCCUUCCCCUUUGGUUUUUUCCGUCGACGUAACAAGGAAAAACUGAAACUCAAUGUUUGAAGCAAAGUACAAAUUUGAAAGAGAGACUCCGAAGCUAUCUUAGUAUAUUGCUUUUAACGAGUCUUUGCUUUGAUACUUUACUUUAGCGGGUUUCUUUUAAAGUUAAAGUUUAGUAAAGUAUAUGACAAAUCUUUAUUCUAAAAUUAUGAGGGUAUUUUAAAUAAUAUUACAAGUAUUAUGAUGUUUAUAUAGGCUUUUGUUACAUAUAUUGAUGCAUGCAUUGCGGUUAUUUGGCUUCCUCUUUUCGUAUUUUUUUUAUAAUUCAAUCUUAAUUUAUAAUAGUUAAGAAUGGGAUGUAAUGGAUUUGGGUGUGUUGUACGUUCAUUAUUAAAUUUGAGAAUAAUGGAAAAAAUUAAAAGAAAAAGACAAAAUUUUCACUUUAUUCCUUGCUUUGUGGAUUAGAUAAUGAAUAUUGAGAUGAAUUCUUUAAAUAUGUCGGUGUUUAAAUAAAAUUACGAGAAUAAGUAGUUUUAUGCCACUUGCUUUUGAUGAUGCGUGGCAAUGAAGUGUACUUUUUAUGGACCAUAAUAUUGUAUGUUCAACAUAUGUAGGAAGCAUAACUUCCUUCCAUGCCACAUGCAUCACAAAUGAAUGAUGAUCUUCUUGCAAACAAACUAACAGGAUGUUCAUGGCUUUUAUCUUCAACAUCUAGAUCUAAAGAUGCUGAUACACAUUCAAUCUGAACAGCAAACUUACAAAAUGAACAACCAAAAACAAAUCCUUUACCCUUUCCACCGGUUUCUCCGCAUGUCUUGCAAGAGAGGCGCCGUUGGCUAUUAAAUUGUAGAACAAGAGGAUGCUUGCGAUGGCACCCAUGAUUCAGUUUGAAAGAAAGAUUAGCGUAUUUCUCAUGUAAAUUAAAUCCACUGUUAGGAGAAAAGUGUUUAUAAUUUACUAAUGGUUCCUGACAUCCAAAGCACUUACUAACAUCUUCACGUUCUUCAUCACCAUUUUCAGUUGAAAUCAAAGGAUGUUGAAGGGCAACAAGCUCAAGAUCUUUCAAAUUAUACCGGGCAACAUUAAAUGUAAACAAAGCACAUUUAAUAUGAUAGUCCAAUCCGCAAGAGCAAUGGUAAACAAACUUAUUAUCCAAUUCAUUACAAAAAUCACAAAUGUACUCUCCAGAUAAAUAAGGUGACUUUUGCGUAAGAAGAAGAGGAUGAUAAGAAUCUAAAUUCAAAAUAUCUUAUCUAAAAUCCGACCUAGAGGUUUAACGAGGUUUUUUUCUUCUUAAAUUUGGUAGUUUAAGUACCCAAUUAAGUACAAAAAAAAUAAACAAGGGUUUAAUUGCUUCUUUUUAUUUUUAAGUUUGAGGAUCUUUUUAAUGUAUUUUGAAAAUUUUAAAUUUCCAAUUUGAGUGCCAAAAAAAAAAAAGAGUUUAUUUGCUUCUUUUGUUUUUUUAAUUUGACACCAGCUAGUGAAUGUUGCGACAUCAACACUAAGUGUUGUGACAUCGAACCCCAAUGUCGCAACACCCUUGUAAUUCAAAGUUUAGCAUUUUGGUCCUUACUGAUUUCAAUGUCGCGACACCCACUUGAUAUUUUCGACACCCACUUGAUUUUUUCUUAAAUUGAAAUUGUUUAGCUACCAACUUGACUUAAGAGCUCUCAUAGGCUUGGGUUAGACUUGGUUUGAUUAUAAUUCAUAUGAGGUAUGGAUUUAUGAUAUGUUGUAUUGUUUAACUGAAUUUUAAAACUUGAUUUGUAUGUGAUUUGUUUCGAUAACUAUAGUAGUAUUCUGUAGUUCAAGUCUGAUGACUAUACUAACACCCUUAAUGAUUUUAGUAAUUGGCAUGAAUUUUUUAACACUUACUCUAAUUCAUUAUUCAUCAUGUGGAAAAUGAAAUUUUUUUAUUAAAAUAGUAUUUAAAAAAUUCAAGUCAAUAUUCUAAUUUAAAUAGUUAACCAUAUUAACUAUAUUAUACUUAAAAGUAAGAUGAUGUUAUAUAUUUUAGUGAUAAGAUUUAUUUUUUUUAAUGGUUCUUUGCAUUAAUUUUCAUUUAAACCUACAUAAUCAUUAUACUUUUGAUUAUUAUUCAAUUUAGUCAUUUAUAUUUACAUAUUGAUAUCAUACAUUUCUUUACCUUGAAACUUCUCAUAAUACAAAUCAUAUUUUUCGCUUUCACUUGAAACUUGAUGUUUUUACAUAUCAUACUUUAGCAAUUACUUUCUAUCUGUGCUAUUUCAAUUAAAAUUCACAUGUCAUGUAUUUCAUUUAUAACAUUUUAAACUCAACUCGUAGAGAUAUAAAUAAAGUUAAUAUGAAAACUUACCUCUUUUGACAAGAAUUCCUCUUUUUUUGCUUCUCUUUCGUUUCCUUCUCAAUUUCAUCAUUAUCAUUCUCUUCUCUUCUAAUUUUCUUCACUCCCAUCUACUAAUUUAUUGCUUCUAAAUUAUGGAACACACUCUCUAGGAUCUCUAUUUCAUCUUUCUUCUUUGUUGCCUAUGGAAAUUUCCAAGAAUUUUAGGUGAAAUAGUGAGAUUUCAUGACAAUAGACUAAAUUGUAAAGAAAUCAAAGUUUCUUUCUUCCUUUGUUCUUUCUCAUGUUGGAAAGAUGACCAUUUAUUAUUAAAAUAAUUAAAAUAUUAAUAAAUAUUUAAAUAAUUUAUUAUUAAAAUAAUAUUUAACUCAUUAAAUGAUUCAAAAUAUCACCAACAUCAUCAUUUCAUUCCAAACUUAUCGUUCUUACUAAAUGACCAUUUUCCCUUCAUGUUUCUUUAAAACUUCAUCCUUGAUUUCUUACUUACUUUUGAUAAAAUUGUGAUUUAGUCCCUCAUAUUUCUUUACUUAUUCAAUUUAGUCCCUGCAUGUCAAUUUCAUGUCAUAAGAAAUUGAGUUGUUUUCAAUUUAAGUCCCUCAGCUUUCUUAUGUUUACAUUUCAACCCUUCAUCCACAACAUUCAUAAGCAAAGGCAUUACACAAGUUCAGACAUUCUAGACACUCAAAAGCUUUGUCAGAAAUAAAGGCAAGAGGUUCUGGGCACAAAUGAUGCCAAACAUCCUUCAUCUUAGGUAACUCAGCACACGCUUUAUGUAGGAAGAAAUCACAAAAUGAACAGGAGUAAAAUGGUAACCAAAACCUCCUAUUGGCUUUACUCCCCAAAACCUCCUGUCUAUAUUUAUAGUGGCCAUGGAAGAUGAGAUAAAUCUAGUAGGAGAGGAGAUGAUGCCUACCUUUGUAAUUCACAUUCCUUACCAAUGUUAACCAAAUUUGCCUAUAAACUCAGUCAAUUGUUAAACAAAGCUAGAACGAAGUUAUUUUUGUAAUAUGCAACAAUUAAUUAACUCAUUAAACAACUGUUUUGAAUCUUAAAACGAACCGAAGCGAAGGUUUGGGGUUGCAAAAUGUGUGCCUUCAAUAAUAAUUCAUCAAUGUGCGCAAGGCAUAUCCGAAUUCCCCUCCGUCGGCAAAAAAUUGGAAAAGAAAGAGUUGGGAUUGCAAAUCGCUUACCCGGAAUAAAGAAUAACUCCAACAGCUACUGCAGCAAAGGCCAAAAAGUGCAUCCAAUCAACCUGUACAGAAUUAACUUGUAUCAGAAAACCGAUCAUUGAUCAAUCAAAUUUAGAUUUGAACUCCAUAUCAAUUUUGAAAAUAAAAAUAAAACAGAAAAUUACAACAGCCCACAUGUCCGAGGUAAGCAAGGAGAGAUUGAGCGUUGUGGAACUACUCAUCUGCAAUGGAAGAAAACCAAAAUUAAUGGAUUCAAACAUACCCCCACAGUGUCUUUUUGUCUUACAAAAAGCACGAUAAUGGAAUGAAUGUUGCAAAUUGAUGGGUUUAGAGUGUUACAAUGGUUAGUUUGGGGAAAUUACACUGAUUAAUUCCCUUUUUUAUUUUUAAAAGUCCACUUAUUUUCUUCUUCUUCUUUAUUCUUUUUUUUUUUAGCAACGACCACCGUUAAUAUUUCUGGUAUCCAUAUAGAUAAAAUAGGUAUUAAAAAGACGGAUAUCAUUUAAUAAUUGAAUGUGGAGGUCACCCGGAAUUUUUUUAACAUGAAAUGAUUGAACCGUUGAAUGUUUUGUAACAUUAAGAAUUGAAGGAGCAAAAUGAAAAAAGCAGUAUAUAUUAAGCAUUAAGCCUACAAAAAUUGUCUCACUCUUUAUAUUUACUUGUUAACUCUUUUUAUCUUAUAGAAAAAUAAUUCUCUUAUUAAAAAAAAAACAAAGGGUAAAUCUUUAUAUAGAGAAUAAUCAUUUUUUUUUAUUUUUUUCCUUUUCAUUUGUAAUUACAAUAAAAGCUGAGAGAUUCCUUUAUCAAAAUAGAACUUUCCAAAGCAUCCACCACAUUUACUGUAUGUAAGAAAAACCUUAACAAGGCAUGCAUGCAUGCAUUUAAAGAAAAUAACACACAAAUUCCAACUUAAAACAUACUCUAAAUUUUGCAUUAUAAAUACAAUCAGCAUUACAUGUAAUAAAGUCGGGACCAUACUUUGUGUUCUCUGCCUAUUAGAAAAGUGGUAGUUUUGGAGUAUAGUCACCUCACCGCCACCUUAUUCCUCCGAAUCUGAAGAAGUGCAAUUGUAUCGUGGACACCUAUUAUGGGCUAUGAAGUUGCAUCCAGUACAUUCGAGAGCGAAAUCUAAACAGCGCUCACCACAAUAUCUGCAGUUCGGAUAGUCAUAAAUCUUCUUAACAAAAGUGAGAGGGUGCUCAUGUGCAUCUUCUAUUACUUUAACGGUACUCCCAAGUUUGAUGAACGGAUAUUCACCAAGGACACAAUUGACAUGAGCAGAAGUAUCACAUAUUGCACAAUGGUAAAACCAAAGAUUUGGAUCUCGACGCUCUUCACAUACAUCACAAAAAUGACUUUCUGAAUAUCUGUUAUCAUCAUGAGAAGCAAGUGAAAGAAGAUGUUUAUCAUUUCUGUGUUGGGAUCUAAUAGGCAACGAAAAACAUUUAUGAUCCAAAGAAAAAUUGCAAUCCUUACAACGGAACAACCCUGUGAUAUCAUCCUUUCCACAAGCAACACAUCGCCCUUUAUAUUCGGUGUAGAAAAGAAGAGGGUGUUUAUGUCCUAGACAAGUGCGAGCACCAGGUGUAAGAGCAAUUAUACAUCGAAGGCAUGUACAUUGCUCACAUUCUUCACAUUUAUAGGCAAAAGCAUUAGACAAGCAAAGACAUCGUACACACUCAAAUACUUCAUUCGAAGUAAGGACUAAUGCUGGUCGGCAACGAUGAUGCCAAACAUGCUUUACUUUUGGUAACUCGGCGCAAACUUUAUGGAGAAAGAAAUCACACUGUGUACAGUAGUAAAAUGAAGCCACGAUCGGUAAUAAGCACCCAUCACAACAUUUAUCAUCAUACUCACCUACUCUGUCACUUAAUAUGAAGUAAUGAAUAUGCUUGAAAUGUUGUAUUACUGUGGCUUCUCCAGCAUCAUUCCUUUCAAGAACCUUGGUUAUGGAGCUGACAGACUCAUCAGGAGAUUCCUCAUCUUCAUUUUCUACUAUUUCAUAUGAAUCUUUAUCCUUCAUUACACACUUCACGUGAAAUAUAACAGUGCACUUUGAACAAUAGUAACUACCAUGCUCUGUAUUGACUUCAUCAUGGCAUAUUAUGCAAUCCAAAACUCUAAAAUCUUCUAUGUGAUGGAAAUAUGUGUGAAGAAGGCGAUGGUCAUGCCACUUACUUUUGAUAAUGCGAGGUAAUGAAAUGCAAUUUUUAUGGAUUAUAAUAUUGCAUGUACCACAUGUAUAGGCAACAUGAUUUCCUUCGGUGCCACACGCAUCACAAGUGAAUGGAACUUGUCUCAAAAACACGGUGAAUGGAUGUUCAUGAUUUGUACUCUUAAUAACUUGUAAUGGUGAUUGUGAUGCACAUUCAAUGUGAACAACAAACUUACAAGCAGAACAACCAUAAACAAAUCCGCUACCCAUUCGACUGGUUUCUCCGCAUAUCUUGCAAGAGAGCCGUUGGCUAUUAAAUUGUAGAACAAGAGGAUGCUUGCGAUGCCACACAUGAUUCAGCUUGAAAGGAAGCUUAGUGCAUUUCUCAUGUAAAUUAAAUCCACAAUCAGGAGAAAAGUGUGUAUACUUUGCUAAUGGUUCCCAACAUCCAAGGCACUUGCUAACAUCUUCAAGUUCUUCAGUACGAUUUUCAGUGGAAAUCAAAGGAUGUUGAAGGGUAACAUGCUCAAGCUCUUUCAAAUUAUUCUCGGCAAUAUUAAAUGUAAACAAAGCACAUUUAAUAUGAAAGUCCAAUCCGCAACAGCAGUGAUAAAUGAAUUCCUCACAUCUUUCAUCACAGAAAUCGCAAAUGCACUCGCAAAUGAACUCUCCAUCUGAAUCUGAAUCUGAAUCUGAAUCUGAAUCAGGUGGCUUUUGCAUAAGAAGAAGAGGAUGAUCAUGAUGAAAAGGGUGAUUGAGCUCCGAAGGUGCCUCAGCACAUACCUUGUGAAGAUAAAACCCACAGUGCUGCGCACAGCAAAAACAUGGAGCAGACACCUUCUCCCCACACCUGGAGCAAUCAGUUACACCACUUUGAUAGUCGAUCAGCUGCUCUUGGUUCAAGAUAAGAAGCAGGGGAUGUUGGUGGUCAUAAUUGUUAGACUCCUCCAUUUCUCCUUCCCCAAGCAAUAUAAAUAAAGGGAAAGCUUGAUUUUGGGAGCAAAGUGUGAAAUGGGAAAACAAGAUUACAAGUGAAGAAAGAUAAUGAUUCAGGAACUGGGAGGCAGAAGGUCACUUAUAGCAAGCAGAGGUGAACUCAAUUAGCUAGUUUUGGUUGUAGAGCUCUGCCUGCUUCACACAUGCUUUAAUUUAAAGCUACUUUUGCUUUUUGGUUCCCCCUUUCUACUUGCUUUCCAUGGUGGGUUGAUUUGAUUGAGAUUAUAUUUAUGAAUAAAAUAUUAUUAUUUUACUUAAAAUUAAGAUGAUGUUAUAUACUUUAUUUUUAAGUUCAUCCAACUAAGAAAAUUCAUUACAUUUUAUAUAAUAAUAAUAUAUAAAUGAGUGAAAAAUUCAUCCAACCUAUAAAAAAAUUGUUAUAAACUUUUUUUCCGUACAAUAAAUUAGAAUUAAGUUAUACGCUUUGAUAAAAGUAUUUUAAUCCCUUUGAAUCUACAUUUUUUUAUAUUAGUAAUAAUAUUGAUAUUAAUUAAACUAAAAUUUAAAGUAAUUUUAUUAUUAUAAUUUCUAAAAUAAAUGUUUAUAUUUGUAUUAUUAUUUAUUUAUGUUUAAUAUUUUUAUAUUUUUAUGAAUUUUAUCUUUUUAAAAAGUUAUUGUAAUUGAAUUAAAAUUUUAGUUAAUUGAAUCAAAAAAUAAUUAUCUGAGUAGCUAACUAUCGAUAUGAUUCUUACAACAUAAUUUUCUUGCUUUUCUUAUUUUAUAAUUUUUAUUAAAAAUUGUACUAUUUAAAGAAAUUAUAAAAAUUAGAAUUUUAAGUGAAAAUAUCAGUUAAAUUAAUCUAUCGAAACUAUUUUUUUAAAAGAAGUAGACUUUUUAUUUAAAAAACGUAAAAAUGGGAGUCGCCACUAAUCUUUUUUUAUUAGGUGUGAUCGGAUCACCUCGUAAUUCAAUCAUUUUAAUAAAAGAUUAAAUUUACUAAAACGAAUAUUUUUGGUUUAUAAAAUCCAAAAAGUAGGUUCGGGAGUCAGUUACAUACAAGGAAGGAUUAGCACCCCGUAACUCCCAAAAUUUGUAUCUAGUUGAUUAAUUAAUGUUUUAGUGUCGAAAAUUAAAAAUUUGGUGAGAUUUUAAAAUACGGUCUUUUGUUAAAAUAUUACUUAAUUAAAUUUUUACAAAAAAAGAGGUAUAUUACAAGUUAAUCGAGGAAAAGGAUUACGUCCCGUAAAUUAGGACACAGUGCCUUAAAUCCUCGAAACGAGAAUAAACAUCAAAAAAAAAUUAAUUUUAAAAGAUAUUUAAUUAUUUUAGUUUUUAGAAAGAAAUCAUAUUCCGUAAGUUAGAACAUAAUUUUUUUAAUUUCAAAAUAAUGAAAAUUAAUCUCGAUAUAAAAAUUUCUUUUUUAUAUGUAUUGUGCGAAAACGAAAAACAUUUGAAAUAUUGUGUAAUUAAUUUAUUCGAGUAUGGUAAAAAGGCUGAAAGGUUAAAAAAAAUCAUGUUUAGCAAAUAAUAAUAAUGCAACAUAAAUCCGUAGUGAUAAUGACAUAAUAUGCUUAAUAAAAUGUAAAAGAUGUGAUAGUAAUAGUAAAUUACAUUGAGUCUCCUCUGGCUUUAUAACCUCUUUCAAUACAAUAUUAUAUAUUUGCUACUGCCUAAUGUCUUUUUUACUGUUGACAUUGCGGGUGGUGGUUGAGCGAUGGAGGAGUGGAGGUGGCAGAGGCUAGGGACUAGGGGCGGCGGGUAGCUAGGGUUUUUCCUUUUUUUUUUGUGAAUAUUGGAUCAAACUAAAUUAUUUUAUAUUAUUAAAAGAAUUAAAUGAAAACAAAUUAGUAUUUAUUAUUUAAAAAUGACUUUAUAAUUAUUGUUUCAUUUAUUUAUGAAACUAUAAACAACAGAAUUUCAGCAAUUAUUGAAUAUGCUAAAAACAAUUGCAACAGCAUUGGUUUAAAAGUGCUUUUGACUGAAAAGCACAUAAAAGUAGAAAUCAUAUCACAUCAGACUUUCAGCAAUUAUUGAAUAUGGCUUCGGAUCCGAUUUCUUCAAUGUUUGCCACACCAUUUUAAAAAGUAAUUUUUUCUUAUAAUUUUAAUCUUUUCAGUUUUUAAAAGAAAUUUAUAUUAUUUUUUUUGUGUUGCUUGAUAAUGUGAAGACUUUUUUUUUUUAAAUAGGUUUUUUUAUUUUUUUCCUUUUCAGUUUUGUUGGAAUCUAAUAGGCAACGGAAAAACAUUCAUGAUCCAAGGAAAAAUUGCAAUUCUUACAACGAAAAACCUUUUGAUGUCAUCCUUACCACAAGCAACACAUAGCAUUAAUAGUUAAAAUUACUAUAUAUUAUGUACUAAGUUAAGCCAAGUAGAGUGAGGAUUGUAGAGAGAGCUAUUGAUGAUUGUGGUAGUUAGAUUCCUAUAUUGUUUGCUUUGUUCAAUAAUUGUCGAAGACGGAAAUUAUUGAGUUAAGAUGAGUUGAGAGUGGUUGAGUGGCACUCAACAAUGUCAAAUGCAAACUGCCACUAAGGUGUUUUAAAAUUUACCUUUUUUUUUAUUUGACAUUUUAAUUAAGAAAAAUUUUAACCUGAUUAUGUAAUGUGAUAUUAAAGAUACUUUAAUCAUCUAUGGAAACCAAUAGUUAGUAAUUGGAAGUGCAAAUCAUUUAUGGUUUUGCACAAAGUGCUUACAACAAAAUACCGCCCGAUGGUUAUAAUCCUAGUUCCAACGGCUAGUCUCAACAGCCAUACGGUGGUGGUUAUUGAUGAGAAUAGGUUCUCAUCCUAGAGAAGAGGAGUAAGGAAAUUAGUGUUGGAAAAAUUACAUUUUAGGGGAAUUUUGAGGCAUAUUCUCAAUAGGUAAAGGUGGAGAGUUGAAUUAUAAUUUUAUGAUUUCAUAUCCUACUCCAUGAGACGUUUACAAUGGUAUAACAUAUGUUUAAAAUGGUUGAGUGGUGAAUGAGAAAUUGAUACUUAAGUGUAAGAUUUGUAUAUAUAUGUGAACCCUCUUGAAAAAUAAUUGAAUGACUAAGUUUAUAAUCUUGUCUCGCGCAUGGGGGGUGCGAGUCCAAUCCCAAUGGGAUUGUGGCACACUUGCACAAUAUGAGCGACUUGAAAUGUCUGGACCAAUUAGGCCCAAUAGACUUGUGGAUUUUUUAGAUUAACACGAAUUUAUUUUCCUAUUCUUCCUUCUUAUUUAAACUUUUAUUUGAAUUUAAUUUUGAUUAUUUUUCAUAUUUAACAAUUAAAUAUAAAUCAUUCUGUUUUUAUUUUAUAUGUGUUUAUUUAUAUUUAAUUAUUUUGUUCGCUAAUAUAUUUUGUCUAACAAUUAAAUACAAGGUUGUGAUAUAAGAGAGUAAAAAAAAGAGAUGGGAAAAUAGCUAAAACAUUAGGUAUGGGGAAUGGAAUCCCAAAGUAGAAGCUGGCAGAUGGGAUCCAUGUUUAUUGUCAUUCUUGGUUAAGCUAUUGCAGUGUUUGGGCCAUAAUCACUCCUUCCAUUGAUUACUGGUUUGAGCUGUUGUGAAAUUGUGUGGAUCAUGAUGACCUUUCACGGCUUUGCAUUUUUUUUGUCUUAAUAUUCUUCCCUAUAAUAUUAAGAGAAGAGACAAAUAGUUUAACAAAAAUUAUAUAUAUAUAAUUUUUUAUAUAUAUUUUUAGAUUUUUUAUUUUUUAUAAUUUUAAAAAAUAUAAAUUUUAGAUUUUUUAUAAAUAUUUGGGUUUUUAAAAAUUAUUUUAAUUUUUUUUGGAAAUUAUUAAACUUUUUUUGUUGGAAGACCAAUUUGAUCAUUUUCAAAAUUGAGCACGGAUCAAAGGGAUAUUAACUCUUAUUUGUUAUUUGAGUUAUUCGAAUUAUAAAGUUCAACUCGACUAGAACUUGAAACUUAAAUUAAUUAUUCGAGUUGACUCGAAAAAAAUCAAAUAAUUAAAAUAACUCGAUUAAAUUAACUCAAAAUAAUAAUAAUAAAACAAUUUUUCAAGUUAAAUAAAUUUUACUCACCUUUAAACUUCUCCGAUCUGCGGUAUAAUAUCUCUAAGCUUAAGCACCUUCUUCCAAGCCCAACUAUGUCAUUGCUUAACUUGUACCUGCCAAACAGAAUCCCCUUUCACAAUAUACUGCUCAACCCAUGCAACCUACAAGGAUUUUGACUUCACCAAAAUUAGCCUAAGACGCCUCAUCAGGGAGGCUUUAUCCCAACUAGCCAAAUCCUUAACUCCAAGUCCUCCUCCUGCCUUAGGAUGACAAAAAUUCUGCCAACUGACCGAGAAUUAGAGGUGCUCAUGGGCUGGGCCGGGCCCAAAAUUUUUUGGCCCGCAUCUUAGGCCCGGCCCGGCCCAUUUUUUAAUAAAACACUAAAAAUUUAUUUUAAAAAUAAAAAAGUUUUUUUAAAAAUAUUUUAAAAUUAAAAAAAUAAAAAUAUAUAUUUAUUAUAUUCAGGCCGGGCCCGGGCCAAAAAAGUGGUGCCUGAGGCCCAGCCAAUUUUCUAAACGGGCCUCGUUUUUUGCACAAACUCAUAUUUCGGGCCUAUAUUUUUACUCGAACCCUCUCAUAUUUCGGGCAAGCCGUCGAGUCAGGCCGGCCCAUGAGCACCUCUACCGAGAAUCACUUCUGCAAGGAUUUUGACCUCACCAAAAAUUAUAUCAGUCCCCUUUCAAAGAAAAGAAUUACAGAAUUGUGUAACUUUCUUAAUGACUUAAAAAAGGAAGAAUGAAGAGUCUACACCAAAAAUUUUGCAGACCGAAAACCACUUAUUGGAGAAGCUAAAGUCUACCAUCUUCUAAUAUGCUUAGUAAUCUUAUCCACCAAAACAUCACAAUCAUAAUUCUUCAAACUCCUUGAUGAGUCACUAAACUAACUAAAAUUACAACAAAGGCAAACGCACCUAUCGAAUAAUAAUAUAGCUAUGGUGAGUCAAAAAUAUUGUAUCCACGAGGACUAAAAGUACUAGUACUUAUUAUUUUCUAUUAUCUAGCCGAUAAAUUGAAGAAAUUGUUUUUAAUCUAAAAUUAACUAAACUAAUUAUUAAGAACACAACAAAAAAUGAAUUAAGGAAAUAAUCGAAUAAAACCAAUGAGAUAGACAAUACCCAGGAAAGAAUCCACCUAGACUUCCCUUAUUAUUCUGAAUCUGAAUUAAAUGAUUUAUUCACUUGUGCCUUGAUCCGUAGAAAUCUCUAAAUUAUGUUAAUAUCUCUUUCGAGAGUAAAAACAAUUGACUGUAGGUUGAUUAAUUGAAAUAUCUUUCUAAUUAAAACCCCUAUUGUCGCAUUAACUCAAUCUAUGGAUUCCUCUAUUAGAUUUGACUCUAAUCUAGUAUAUUUAUGUCGUCCUAUUUUUAGGAUUGCAUGCAACUCCACUCAAUUAUGCUAGAUCUACUUUUAAACAAGGACUUUUGCUCCACUGAAAUAUGCACAUUAAGCAUAAAUUAAUAUCCUGAAAAUAUUAAAACACUAAUUAAGUAUACAUAAUUGAGAACAAGAAUCAAGUAUUUAUCAUGUAAUUUAGAAAUCAAAUAAUAAGAUUCAUAUAGGUUUCAUCUUCCCUAGGUUUAUAGGGAAUUUAGUUCAUAAUUUGGAAUAACAUCAUCUCAAAGUUAGAAAAACAAUAAGACAUAAAGAAACCCAAUAAAACUUUUGAAGAAAUUGAAUGGAGAUCUUCAAUCUUGAAGGAGAUCCGCUUCUGAAAUGAAUCCGAUGGCGUUCUUCGAGUCUUUUCUUCGUUCUCCUCUACAUGUUCCACUAGGUCUUCUUCUAAUAUGUAUUUAUAAACUUUAGAAUGCUCAGAAACCCUAAAAAUUGGGUUUUUUUUGCGUAACAGGGAAGUAGGGUGCGAAAUCGACACGGGCUGACACAUAGGCGUGUGGUCAACCUGUGUGGCUCACAGGGGCGUGUGGCCAGCCCGUGUGGAAAUGCUCAGGCCGUGUGGAUCCUGAAAAUAGCUCUUUUUGCCUGAUUUUGGCUCGUUUUUUUGCUCCUUUCGCUCCCCUAUGCUCACCUAAGUAUAGAAACAUGAAUUUAAAGGAUUAGGAGCAUCAAAUUCACUAAUUCACAUAAUAAAUCAUCCAAAAACGCAUCAAGAAUGAGAUUAAAAACAUGUUACUUUUAUGGCUUAUCACUCCUCCGUACUAAAGGCAUGCACAAAUACCCGACUGGCAAUUUCUUAAGUUGAUUGAGCGAAAUUAUUGAAAUAAAACACUACUAUCAAGGAAUUAAAACAUCCAUUAUAAAAAUUAAUUAGUGAAUAGUUUUGAAAAAUUAAAUAAACAAAUUUCUUAAGUGCAUUAUUUGCAAAUAUUAACCUUUUGGAAAUUGAUAAAUAUUAAUAACGUGUCAAUGUAAUUCUAAACUAUAUUUUUAGUGAUAAUCAUGUCAUGUUCUUAGUAUGUAAAUUCAUGAUAAUUAUGUCGCUUUGAAUAAAUUUGUCAAAUAGUAUAUUUCAAUUAAUAUGAAGUUGCAUAAGAAAUCAUUUUACACAAGUAAAUUGAAAAUAAGUUAAAAGUACAUAAAUAUUCAAGAAGUAGACACAUAUCCAAACAAGUAGAAACAAAAAUUUAAGAAACACGACGUUCUCGUCUAGUUGCCAUCAAAUUAGUAGUGAUGUCAUUACGAACUUUUGUCAUUACAUUAGUACUCAUACACUAAACUUCUUGAGUAGAGUUUUUUGUAGAUUGAAAAUUUCUCGCGACAAUGUUGAUUUUUGUAGAUUCACAAUGGAGGGUGUCUUUUUUUUUUUUUUAAGAUUUACUUUGGGCUUUUGAGAUGAAAGUGAAAAUGAGAGAAUGAAGUAUACUGAUAUAUUGGCACCCCUAUUAGGUUUGAUAGCAUGCGGCAAAGGGAGUAAAUUUUGAGCAAGCAUAGUCAAAUAUGUCAUUCCACAUAUCUCAUACUCAAUCAACUGUUGAUAAAAGUUGUCCAUUGCUAUGUAAAGUUUUUAGACCAAUAGUCUGAACAUCUAAAGAUUAAAGCCAAUGAGGUAUAAACAAGUGAUUUUGCGAAAACAAACUAAAAGAAAUCAAGUUUCUCGCUAAAUCUCAGCAUUAAUUGUAAAAAGACAUGAUAUUGUUUUGUGGUAGAUGCAUUAAUCUUUAGAUAUUUUAUUAGUCUGCCAAUUCAUAAAAGUUUGGCAUGCAUCUAAUAAUUGCUCUUACAGAUUUAUAUGAAUCACUAUAUAUUAAAGUUUAAAUAAAAAUCCUUCAAGGAUUUAGAAUGUUGGAAACAUAUAAAAUGAUCUAACAUGCACAUAUAUAGAAGGAUUAUAAUCAAAGUUUUUUAUGAUUAUUGUUAAACUCUUGGAGAUAUCAAAAUAUAUUCCCCAGAAUUUUUCAUUACCUAUAACUUUCAAAAAAAUGAUGAUAUAAACGUUUAUCAAAUCUAUUUAAGUGAUUAUUUGAAAACUUAAUAUUCAAGAUUGGAAUACGUAGAAUAUGAUAAAUUACGUGACGUUGUCAAUAGGGGGUAAAUAUGCGCUGUAUUUUUUCUCUUAACCGAGGUUUUGUCCAACUAAAUUUUCCUAGUAAGGUUUUUAAUGAGGUAAUAAGAUAUGUGUAUUAUAAAUAAUUGUACUCUUUUUCCAUCACUAAGAUUUUUUUCUCACAGAGUUUUUAUCUCAAUAAGCUUUUAAUGAGGUAUAUUAUCUACUAAUGGAUAUUUAAGAGGGAGUGUUGUAAAUGUCCAUCAAGAUCAAGAUAUUGAUGAAUUUUAAGACUCAUACCUAUAAAUAUAGACUUUGGAGAGUAUUGCAAACAACCCAAUUGAUCAAUAAAAAUAGGAGCGAAGCCAGAAAAUUUUUUGAUAAGAGUCCGAAUUAAAUUGUAUAUUUUUAAAAUAGCAAAAAUAAAAUUUCACCAUUUUAAUAACAUAUAUCUUUAUCAUUUACUACUGACAUCAUUUAAUAAUUGGAUGUUGAGGUCACCCGGUUUUCUUUAAUGUGAAAGGAUUGAACCAUUGAACGCUUUGUAACGUUAAUGAUUGAAAUGAGCUAAAAAAUCUUUAAAGAUUAAAAUGAGAAAAAUGAUAUAAUUUAAGAACUAAAAAGUGCUUCAAACCUUAAAAAAAGGGUCUUAAACAACAACAAAAAUAUUAAUUUUAUAAUUUUGUUUUUACUUUUUCCCCUUUCGUUUGUAAUUACUACCUUAAAAUUUUCAUAUUUAGGAAAAUACCUACAUGCUCUUUCAUAAACUAUUCACUUCAUUUUUCUUAAACAACAGAACAAUAAACUAUUUUUUUUCUUAAAAAAUCUACCAUUCCUUUAAAAUAUAAAUAUAUAAUAUUUUACAUAAUUUUUAAUUUUUUUCCCAUUCAGCUGGCACCCUUUAUUUUUUAACACUUACUCUAAUUCAUUAUUCAUCACAUCAAAAAUGACUUUUUUUUUUUGUUAAAAUAGAAUUUUAAAAAAAUUCAAGUCAACCUUUUAAUUGAAAUAGUUAAUUUUUAAUUUUUUGGACUAAAUAAAAGUAUUCGGUCAAAUUAUGAUAAAAAAUAAAGUAUAAACUAUAGGAAUAGUGGAGGUACUAAACUCUAUAUUUGACCAUUUUUUAUAAUGUAAAUUAGGAGAUUUGGUAGCAAGUGUGUAUGGCCUCUCAAGUUCCAGAAUAGGCUGCACAGAGCAGCAAUAGGAGCUUCAACUCUCUAACAGGUUCUCAUGCUUCUGUUAAAACAUGGUUUAAAGAACACAAAAAUCAGGAAAUUAUAGUUUGAAUAAACAUGGUUCAACUUAAAACAUGCUUCCCUUACAUUUAUACUUCAAAUACGAAAGCCUAGUUUGGAUGAUAAAUACAAUCAGCAUUUCAAGUAAUAAAGUCAAGACCAUACUCUGUGUUCUCCGCAAAAGAAAAGGGUAGUUUUGGAGUAUAGUCACCUUAGUCCUCCGAAUCCGAAGGACACUCAGCAUGGACAAUGAAGUUGCAUCCAGUACAUUCCAAAGCCAAAUCUAAACAGGGCUUACCACAAUCACUGCAGUUCGGAUAGUAAUAAAUCUUCUUAACAAUGGUGAGAGGGUGCCCAUGAAUGUCCUCAUCUACCGCAACGGUACUCCCGAGUUUGAUGAAUGGAUGUUCUCCAAGAACACAAUUGACAUGGGCAGAAGUAUCACAUGUUGCACAAUGAUAAAAGGAAAGUUUUGGAUCUCGACGCUCUUCACAAACAUCACAAAAAUGACUUUCUGAGUAACUGUUAUCAUCAUUAUAAGCCAGUGAAAGAAGAUGUUCAUCACUUUUGUGUUGAGAUAUAAUAGGCAACGAAUAACAUUUAUGAUGUAAAGAAAAAUCGCAAUCCUUACAACGGAACAACCCUUUGAUAUUGUCAUCACCACAAGCAACGCAUCUCCCUCUAUACUCAAUGAAGAAAAGAAGUGGGUGUUUAUGUCCUAGACAUGUGCGAGCAACUCCAGGUGUAAGAGCAAUUACACAUCGAAGGCAUGUAUAACCCUUACAGUCUUCACAUUUAUAGGCAAAAGCAUUAGAAAGGCAAUCACAUUUUACACACCGAAAUACUUCGUUUGAAGUAAGGAUUAAUGGAGGUCGGCAACGAUGAUGCCAAACAUGCUUUACCUUUGGUAACUCAACACAAACUUUAUGAAGAAAGAAAUCACACGGUGUACAGUAAUAAAAUGAAGCCACAAUCGGUAACAAGCACCCAUCACAGCAUUUAUUAUCGUACUCACCUACUCCGUCACUUAACAUUAAGUGGUGACUAUGCUUGAAAUGUUCUAUAACUGUGGCUUCUCCAGCAUCAUUCCUUUGAAGAACCUGGGUUAUGGAGCUAGCAGACUCAUUAGGAGAUUCGUCAUCUUCAUUUUCUACUAUUUCAUAUAAAGCUUCAUCCUUCAUUACACACUUCACAUGGAAUAUAAAAUUGCACUUUGAACAAUAGUAACUACCAUGCUCUGUAUUGACUUCAUCAUGGCAUAUUAUGCAAUAUAAAACUCUAAAAUCUUCUAUGUAAUGGAAGUAUUUGUGAAGAAGGCGAUGGUCAUGCCAUUUACUUUUGAUAAUGCGAGGCAAUGAAAUGCAAUUUUUAUGGACUAUAAUGUUGCAUGUACCACAUGUAUAGGCAACAUGAUUUCCUUCUGUGCCACAAGCAUCACAAAUGAAUGGAACUUGUCUCAAGAGCAAUGAGAAUGGAUGUUGAUGACCUUCAUCUUUAAUAAUUGGCGAUGGUGAUAAACAUUCAAUAUGAAUAACAAACUUACAAGAUGAACAACCAUAAACAAAUCCUCUUCGCCUUGUUACUUGGCAUAUCUUGCAAGAGAGCCUUUCGCUAUUAAAUUGUAGGACAAGAGGAUGCUUGCGAUGGCACACAUGAUUCAAUUUGAAAGGAAUCUUAGCGCAUUUCUCAUGUAAAUUAAAUCCACGGUAAGGAGAAAAGUGUGUAUAAUUUGCUAAUGGUUCCCGGCACCCAAAGCACUUAGAAACAUCUUCAAGUUUAUCAUCACCAUUUUCAGUAGAAAUUACUGGAUCUCGGAGGGCAACAUGGUCAAGCUCUUUCAAAUUAUUCUCAGCAAUAUUAAAUGUAAACAGAGCACAUUUAAUAUGAAAGUCCAAUUUACAACUAGAGCAGUGAUAAACAGACUUGUCACCAAAUUCAUGGCAGAAACUGCAAAAGUACGCUCCAGAUAAAUGAGGUGACUUUUGCAUAAGAAGAAGAGGAUGGUUGAGAUGAAAAGGGUGAUUAAGCUUCACAGGUGCCGCGGCACAUACCUUGUGAAGAUAAAACCCACAGUGCUCAGCACAGCUAAAACAUGGAGCAGACACCUUCUCCCCACACCUGGAGCAAUCAGUUACACCGCUUUGAUUGUGGAUAAGCUGCUCUUGAUUCAACAUAAGAAGCAGGGGAUGUUGGUGCCCAUUAAACAAGGUAAAUGGAUGUUCAUGAUUUGUACUCUUAAUAACUGGUGGUGGUGAUUGCGAUGCACAUUCAAUGUGAACAACAAACUGACAAGGAGAACAACCAUAAACAAAUCCUCUCCGCCUUAUUCCUAGGCAUAUCUGGCAAGGGAGCCGUUCGGAAUUAAAUUGUAGGACAAGAGGAUGCUCGCGAUGGCACUCAUGAUUCAGUUUGAAAGGAAGCUCAGCGCAUUUCUCAUGUAAAUUAAAUCCACACUCAGGAGAAAAGUGUGUAUAAUUUGCUAAUGGUUCCCAACACCCAAAGCACUUACUAACAUUUUCGAGUUCUUCAUCACGAUUUUCAGUGGGAAUCAAUGGAUCUCGGAGGGCAACAUGGUCAAGCUCUUUCAAAUUAUUCUCAGCAACAUUAAAUGUAAACAAAGCACAUUUAAUAUGAAAGUCCAAUCCGCAAGAGCAGUGAUAAAUGAAUUUCUCACAUGUUUUAUCACAGAAAUCACAAACACACCUUGUGUAAGAAGAUGGUGGCUCUUGCAGAAGAACAAGAGGAUGAUGAGGAUGAAAAGGAUGUUUAAGCUCCAAAGGUGCGUCGGCACAAGCCUUGUGAAGAUAAAACCCACAGUGCUCCACACAGCAAAAACAUGGAACAGACACCUCCUCCCCGCACCUGGAGCAAUGAGUUACACCACUUUGAUUGUGGAUCAGCUGGUCUUGAUUCAAGAUAAGAAGCAGGGGAUGUUGGUGGCCAUAAUUGUUAGACUCCUCCAUUUCUCCUUCGCCAAGCAAUAUAAAUAAAGGAAAAAGCUUGAUUUUGGAAGCAAAGAUUGAAAGGGAAAACAAGAUUACUAAGUGAAGAAAGAUAAAGAAUGAGGAAGUAGGAGAGCAUUUGAUAUUUAGAGGCAGAGGCAGAGGGUCGCUUAUAGUAAACAAUAGAGGUGAACUCAAUUAGGUAGUCAAUGUUCUUAUCUUUUGGUUGUAGAGCUCUGCCUGCUUCACACUUGCUUUUGAGGUUGGGUUGAUUUGAUAUUCAUGACUAUCAAUCCUUUUUUGUUUUAUUUCGAAAUUCCCGAAUUAUUUUAUACUAGACACCAUAUGUCAGUAUAUAUAUAUGUAUAUAUGUACAUGUUAAUCAAUUUUCUUGACACUUUCCUUCACACCACUUUCAUCCUUCAAUUAUUGUGGUGAACCAACGAUGUCGAAAAUAGUAAAUAAGCACAACCGGAACUUUACAGAAUUCUACUCAAAUUAUCAAGUCAACAAAUUAAAGUGUAAUUAACAUUUAAUAUUACACCAAAAAGAAACCACUUUUGGUAGAAUGUGCGUCUUACAUUGUGAGCUUUCAACUAAAGUUAUGUUUUUUUCUCUUUUAAAAGCAGUUUAUUUAUUUAAAUUUAAAAAAAAUUGAUUUAUUUUUCUAAAUACUUUUUUAAAAUGGUCUUUUUAUUUAAUUUGUCUAGUAAUAAUUUGUCUUCAAUUUUAAAGCCUAAAUGGUAAAUAAACUAAAUUCCAAAAAAUAAAAAUAUAAGAAUUAAAUUUUAAAUUUUAAAUUUAUGAAUAAUACAAUGGUGACUGUGCUUGGCCUCCAUUUCUCCUUCCCCAAGCAAUAUAAAUAAAGGAAAAGCUCGAUUUUGGGAGGAAAGUUUGAAUGGGAAAACAAGAUUACAAGUGAAGAAAGAUAAUGAUGGAGGAAGUGGGAGAGCAUUUGAUAUUUUGAGGCAAAGGUCAACUCAAUUAGCUAGUGAAUGCUUUUAUUCAAGAUAACACAUGCUGUUCAUGGUGGGUUGAUUUGAUGUUUAUGAGAUUUAUUUAAAUCAAUUUUGUUUACAGUUUCAGCCUUCAAUUAUUGUGGUGAACCCAACUUUCAGCGAACACAUACAAGAGCAAUUCAUGAGUUGUCGGGAAAAGUUUGGCUAUCUUUUUACACAAGAUAGGCAGUGGAGUAUUCGCUCUUUUUAAAAUGGAAAGUGGUUUAUUUUCUUAAUAUUUUAAAUUAAUAAUAAUAAAAUUAUAUUUUUAUUUUUCUUAAAAUUAAUAAAAUUCUAAUUUAAUUUUUUAAAAAUUAUAAAAAUAAUAAUUAAAAAUUUAAAUUUACUCCUCUAAAAAGUUUUUCUAACUAUACGGAAAGAUAGUUUGUUUUUGUUUUUUCGUUCUUUAAGUAAAAGCUAGAUACUAAUAAUGAUUUUCUUUUUUUACUUUGUUAUAAUGUUAAUUUACCAAAAUAAUUUUUUUAAAUGAAAUAUUGAAAUAAGUUACUGUUGACACCAUUUUUUUGAUGAAAACGGGGUCGACUUGGAUUUUGAAAAUGAAAACGGGAGUCGCCACCAAUCUUUUAUUAAGGUGUGAUUGGAUCACCUCGAAAAGCGGUCGUUUUUUAAUAAACGGUUUGAUUUUAUUAAAACAACAAGUUUGGUCCGCGAAAUUCAGAAAACGGGUUCGGGAGUCGGUUACGCACGAGGAAGGAUUAGCACCCUCGAUACGCCCAAAAUUGGUACCUUAGUUGAUUACUUAAUGUCUUAAUGUCAAAAAUUGAAAACUUAGAAGAAUUAAAAAAAAUACGAUCCUUGUAUUAAAACGUUGAAAAUUUUCAGGAAAAUGGGCAUAUUUCACAUUAUUCGAGAAAGAGAAUCAUAUCCAGUAAGUUAGAAUACAAUGUCUCAAAUUCCCAAUACGUAAAUGAAUGCCAGAAUUUUACUUAUUUAAAAGAUAUUUUAUUAUCUCGGGUUUAGGAAAGGGAUCAUGCCCAGUAAGUUAGGACACGAUCUUUUCUUAAUUCCCGAGAUCGUUUCAAAACUUGAGUUUGAAAAGAUCAGUGUGUUUAGAUUUAUUGUGGAAAUCGAAACCCAGUAAGUUAGGGUACGAUCCUCUCGAAUCUAAACAAAAAAUAUCACUUUUUUUAAACAAAUUUUAUUAUCGAGUAAAAUAAAAACAUGAAGUCGUAGUAAAAAAUGUGAAAGCAAAUUACAUUGUUAUACAUGACAAAAUCAUAAUGAAUACAAAAGUGUAAAAAUGAUACGAGCGAUAGCAACAAUAUAAAAUAAAUAAAAGUCAAACCCACAAUCAUAUAAAAUAACAAUAUAUAUAAACAAAUAAAUUAAACAUUCGUUCAAAAUAAUAAUGAAAAUGAAAUAAAUAAAUAAUGAAUACAAUCAAAAUUCAAAGGGAUAUAUAUAUUUAUGUGUAUAGACAAAAGAAAAUAUAAUAUGUGUGUAUUCAUAAAUUACAAUGUAUAUAUGUAAAGUAUACUUUAAAAUAUAAAAAAUAUGCAUAUAGAUAAAAAUAUGUACACAUAUAUAUAGAUGUAUAAAAUUAUGGAAUAUGAAAAUAAUGAAAUGCAUAUAUAAAGUAGGCGCAUGAAAAUAUGUAUGUACAAAUUAGAAUUUAAAAAUAAUGAAAAUAUACCGACGUAUACAAAUAAGUACGUUAAUUUAUAUAUAUAUAUGUUUAAAAUAUAUUGAAAAUAUGUAUGUAUAUGUCUAUGCAAAUUAAGAUAUACAAAAACAUAUAAAUAUAUACAUAAAUAUAUAUAUACUUAUAAAAAUAAAAAUAUGUAUGUGUAUAGAUAUAUAUAAAAAGAAAUAUGAGUAUACGUAUAUAUAUUAAACAAAUUAUAUGUAAAAUAUGUACAUGUACAUAUACAAGCACUUAUAUGAUAAUAAAAAAAUAUAUAUAUUUGAAAAUACAUAAGUAUAUAUGAAUAGAGAUGUAAAAGUAACAACAAUAAUACCAAUACUAAUAAUAGUAAAGAUGAUAAUAAUAAUAAUAAUAAUAAUAAUAAUGAAGUUAACAAAAAUUGACUAAAUAAUAAAAUAUGCUAAAAAGGGGCCUUAAAUCGAAAUGAAAUAGAACAUAUAGGGCCAAUUCGAAAUAAAGGAAAACGAAAGGGAUCCAAUUGCGACGCGCGUAAAAAAGGGAAGGACCGAAACAGAAAAUAAACCCAAAAUCCCAAAACGCAGCACCUCAAUGGACUAAAAUAAAACAAAAAUAAAAUGUUAGGGCUAAAUCAAAAUAAAAUAAAACAACAAAAUAGGACCAAAUUGAAACACGCCGCGAAUCAGAGGGACUGCGCGCAUAAAUAGCCCAAAAAUUAAAAACACGCGGAUCCUUCGGGUCGGGUCGGGUCGACGCGCGGAUCCCCUUUGCUAAAACGGCGUCGUUUCAUUUUGAAUAUAAAUAAUAGAAAAAAACAAAAAAAACAAAUCAGAUUCAUUUUUUAGAAAAAAAAGCUGAGAGGGAGAGUCUCUCUCUCAUUCUUUCAGGCCCGGCGUUGGUCAUCGGCCGAACUAGGCCUCCGGCGAUUCUCCGCCCUAGCGCCGCCGCGUAUGGUGGCCGGAGUAUCCCAAAAAUCGGAUUUUUUCAUCCUUUUCGAAGUUAAGUGCGUCUUAAGCACGAAUCGAAGGGUUAAAUCCGAAAAAGGAGGUCCGAAACUUGAAGAACGAGGAGAGACCACUCGCCCUUCCCCUUUCGACGUAGCACAGGUAACCCCUAUUCCUAUUUUGUUUUGUUAAAAGAGUUGUAGAAAAUAAAAAAAAUAAUAGAAGACAGGAAAUAAAACGCAAGAAUCUGAGAAAAAAAUCUGAAAUCCACCUUUUCUUUCGCUUUUUUAUCUUCUUAUUAUUCACUGAUUGUUGUUAAUUCCUUGUUUGAUACCCAAAAUCCCCCAAGCCCCCUUUUACAUAUUAAAUCUGGCUUUUUAUAGCCGAAAGAAAGAAAAAAAAUUUGUCUUCGUUUCUGCUUGCGUGUUUGUUUCUCUUUGCAGGUGGAGCGGGUGGAGCAGGUGAGCAGCGAUGGGACGUGCGGCGGCCAGCAAGUGAACGGCGGAGUUGGUGGGUCUGCUGGUAUGGGUUCUUUUGCUUCUUUCUUGGGCCCGGGCAAAUGGGCCUGCAACAGCUGCCCCUCUUUGCUCGUUGUCGUGUAACGAUAACAGAGUAAAGACUAAGAAAGGCCCAUUUUGCCCGGUCUUGCCGAGUCUUGACCUGUUCUGGUACUUCUCCAUUUCAAGUAGUUUCAUUCCAGUCCACUAGGUCUUGUUGCUUCGAUCCAUUCCACUGCAUUUUAGAGAGAUGCGUCCUGUAGCCUUUAUCUUCUUCGUAGCAACUUCAGGGGGACGAGGUUUGUGGUUUUCAAUCUAUUCCACUGCAUCUUCAGGGAAAUAAGACUUGAUGCGACCUACUCUGCUGUAACCUCAGAGAGAUAAGAUCCUUUAUUUUAACCCACUCCACUGUAACUUCAGGGAGAUAGGAUAGUGUCUUCGAUCUGCUCCGCUGUAAUCUCGGGGAGAUAAGAUCUCUGGCUUCAAUCUGCUCCACUGUAACUUCAGGGGGAUAAGAUCUGCAAUUCUUCGGUCUACUCCACUGUAACCUCAGAGAGAUAAGACCUGAUGCGAUCUACUCUACUGUAACUUCAGAGAGAUAAGAUCCUUUAUUUUAAUCCGCUCCACUGUAACUUCAGGGAGAUAGGAUUAUAUCUUCGAUCUGCUCCGCUGUAACCUCAGGGAGACAAGAUCUGUAAUUCUUCGGUCUGUUCCACUGUAAUCUCAGGGAGAUAAGAUCCUUUAUUUUAAUCCGCUCCACUGUAACUUCAGGGAGAUAGGAUUAUAUCUUCGAUCUGCUCCGCUGUAACCUCAGGGAGACAAGAUCUGCAAUUCUUCGGUCUGUUCCACUGUAAUCUCAGGGAGAUAAGACCUGAUGUGAUCUUCUCUACUGUAACUUCAGAGAGAUAAGAUCCUUUAAUCCGCUCUAUUGUAAUCUCAAGGAGAUAGGAUUACUAUCUUUGAUCUGCUCCGCUGUAAUCUCAGGGAGAUAAGAUCUCUGGCUUCAAUCUGCUCCAAUGCAACCGAUGGAGGCAAGGCUUUGUCUUUGAUCUGCUUCGCUGUUAAUGCAGGAAGGCAAGAUCUACUUCUUUAACUAGCUCCACUGCGAUCGAUGGAUGCAAGGCUUUGUUUUCGAUCUGCUUCGCUGUUAAUGUAGGAAGGCAAGAUCUUUUGUCUUCAACCAGCUCUAUCACAACCGAAAGAGGCAAGGUUUGUGUCUUCGAUCUGCUUCGCUGCUAAUGCAGGAAGGCAAGAUCCUUUGUCUUCAUUGAUCUGUCCCUUGGGGAACAUGACCUGUAUGUUCUAUUUUAUGAACCUAAUUGUGCCUAGUGAUUCAGAUGACAUAAUCAGAAUGAAUCCAAUUCUCCUAACUAGAUAUGUAUGAAUGACAUUUGAGUGAAUGCAAAAUGUCAUGAAGAUGAUUCCUUAAUGCUUAGGUUAACAUCACGUAAAAACUUAUUAAGGUUUUAUCACUGACGUACUACAACGCCUUUUUGCUCGUCUGGUAUAUCCAAAGAAACACUUAAUCUGGUUGCCCCCCCACUGUAAACCUUAAAGUUUAAUCUAUUAGGGCACAAAAUUUGUACCAUCAUUCUCCCACUAUAAUCCAAGGGUAGAAAGAUAUGGCUUUUUCAAUCUUCUCCUAUCGCAAUUCAAGGAUACAGAAUGUGAAGCUCUUUGGUCCUUUACCUCAUUCCCAAGGUGUCAUACCAAAUGCUCAUGCACAAUUGCAAAAUUUUCCUCUCCGAGAAAACCUUUUCUUAUCAUUUGGUGAUCAUUGCUUGUUUGUUCAUUGAAGCUUUGUCACCAACACGACAUCUCGUCAUUUUGUUCAAUCAAUGUUUGGACAACAAAAUCCAAAAAUAUAGUCUUUAACUUAGACUCUUCCUUCUUAGAUACUUCACCCUUUAAACUUGGUGUUUUCUAAACAAUAGUCCUGUUUCAGGUUUCUAUAUUAUUUAGAACUUUUCAGAGUAAUAUGCAAAACUUCUUUCCUGAAAGUUUUAUUAGUUCGUUAAUCAAUAUUCCUAUGCAACAUGUUUGCAAAAAGAUCAUAACAAUGGAUAAGAAUAAAGCUAGCUCUGAUCAUAACUCAAAUAAAACAUCAAAGAUGGCGAAAGAAAGGUAACAAAGAAGUGGAUUGAGAAUGCGCGUUUUCACAAAAGGCAAGGAAGAAAGAAAGAAAAUGUAUUUUCAAGAAUACACAUAUGAACUAGGUGCCCCAGCUAUCGCUGCUUGAGUUUCUCUGUACAAACUUUCCGAAGACCCUUCUGAGUUUGACAUGUGUUCAGGAAAUCUGCAAUACUCUGUCAAUGUUCCGAGACGUUGCAUAUCCUUCCUUAUUGGUAAAGCAAGAUCAUCAUAUGCCCCUGAUCAAAAUUUGAUCCGCUCAAGUCCUGAUGUUCCAAUCCUGCCCAAUACUCGAGUCGCCCUUUUCGGGUUUUCGACUCAAGCCCUCUUUGGUCUCAAAGUGCCCUUUACGGGUUUUCACCUUAGCCUCUCCAAAGUUUUUUUUUUUUUUUUUUUUUUUUUUUUUUUUUAGGAAGCAAAGCGCCCUUUACGGGUUUUCACUUUGGUUCCCCUUUCUUUCAAGUGAAGUAUUUCUUAACAGAGUCUGCGUUUACAGGAUUUGGUAAACUUUUGCCAUCCAUCUCGCAUAGGAUCAAAGCUCCACCGGAAAAGGCCUUCUUUACAACAUAAGGGCCUUCCCAAUUUGGCAUCCAUUUUCCUCUAAAAUCUUUUUGCAUAGGAAGAAUCUUUUUUAGUACCAAGUCCCCUUCACGAAAUUCUCGGGGGCGAACCUUUUUAUUAUAAGCUCGCAUCAUUCGUUUCUGGUACAUUUGCCCAUGGUGAAUAGCUCUUAGCCUCUUUUCUUCUAUUAGGUUCAACUGAUCGUACCGAGAUUGGAUCCAAUCGGCUUCAUCCAACUGUAGCUCAGAUAACACCCGUAGAGAAGGGAUUUCAACUUCAAUGGGUAAUACUGCCUCCAUUCCAUAAACCAGAGAAAAAGGCGUUGCCCCAGUAGAAGUUCUAACAGAUGUUCGAUAGGCGAGGAGAGCAAAUGAUAAUUUCUCAUGCCAAUCCUUGUAGGUUUCAGUCAUUUUCCCCACAAUCCUUUUAAUGUUUUUAUUGGCCGCCUCCACUGCACCAUUCAUUUUGGGACGAUACGGCGAUGAGUUAUGAUGCUUAAUUUUAAAUUUGCUACAAACUUCAGCUAUUGUGCUAUUAUUCAAGUUCAUCGCGUUGUCGGAUAUGAUCCUCUCAGGCAUCCCAUAUCGACAAAUGAUCUCCUUCUUCAAGAAUUUGCUGACUACUGCUUUUGUGACAUUUGCAUAUGAAGCAGCCUCCACCCACUUGGUAAAGUAAUCAAUUACUACGAAGAUGAAGCGAUGCCCAUUAGAAGCCUUUGGUGAUAUUGGCCCAAUAACAUCCAUACCCCACAUGGAAAACGGCCAAGGAGAGGUCAUGACGUGAAGAGGUGAAGGAGGCGCGUGUAUUUUGUCUCCGUAAAUUUGGCAUUUGUGGCACCUCCUGGCAUGAUCAAUGCAAUCUCCUUCCAUGGUGGGCCAAUAGUACCCAAAUCUCAUGAUCUGUUUGGCCAUCGUGAAACCACUGGCGUGCGUCCCACAAAUACCCUUAUGGACUUCUUCCAAAAUUUUCUUGGCUUCUACCGCAUCUACACAUCUUAACAGUACUUGAUCCUUCCUUCUUUUGUAUAACACUUCUCCAUCUAAGACAUAUUCAAUGGCUAUCUUUCUCAGAGUUCUUUUGUCAUUCUCUGUCGCUUGAUCAGGGUAUUCCCGAUUCUUCACAUAUUGUAAGAUACUCCGAUACCAAGGACAAUCAUCUUUUCCCUCCUCCUCAAUAUUGCAACAAUUAGCCGGGGUCUCAGAGAUACUCAUCUGAACAGGCCUCAUUGCCUCAAGUCUAUUCACCUGAAUCAUCGAAGCUAGAGUAGCUAAUGCAUCAGCCAUUUGGUUUUCCUCCCGUGGGAGGUAAUAGAAGGUGAUAUCGUCAAACUCCUCAGCCAAUUCAAGAACUAGUUUCCUAUAACCAAUUAGCUUAGGAUCUCUAGUCUCCCACUCCCCUUUGAGUUGGUAUAUCACCAACGCUGAAUCCCCGUAUACUCUCAGUACUUUGAUGUUCCGUUCAAUGGCUGCACGAAUGCCCAUAAUACAUGCUUCAUAUUCUGCCAUAUUAUUUGUACAAUCGAAGUCCAACUUACUGGCAACAGGAUAAUGAUCUCCACUCGGGGAUACCAAAACUGCCCCAACUCCAUUACCCGUAGCAUUCGAAGCUCCAUCAAAAUUUAACUUCCAUACGUGAUCCAUUUGAGGAUUUUCUUCAGUAUUCGCCACAUACAUCAAGUCCUCGUUUGGAAAAUCGAAAUUCAAAGAUUCAUAGUCCUCCAAGGCUCUACUAGCUAGGAAAUCGGCUAUUGCACUUCCCUUUAUGGCCUUCUGACUGACAUAUACUAUAUCAAAUUCUGAGAGCAAGAUCUGCCAUCUAGCCAUUCUCCCGUUCAAAGCGGUCGAUUCCAUCAUAUAUUUUAAAGGAUCUAACUUUGAAAUCAGCCAAGUCGUGUGAUACAACAUAUACUGCCUCAGUCUUCGGGUUGCCCAGAUUAGAGCACAACACAACUUCUCAAUUGAUGAGUACCUCAUUUCGCAAUCGGUAAAUUUCUUACUGAGAUAGUAUAUUGCCCUUUCUUUCUUUCCCGUCUCAUCAUGUUGGCCCAAUACGCAUCCCAUGGAAUUCUCCAACACUGUUAGAUACAAUAUCAAUGGCCUAUCUGGACUUGGAGGUGAUAAGACUGGAGUAUUAGCCAAGUACUGCUUUAUCUUAUCGAAAGCCCUCUGACACUCUUCAUCCCAAUUGCCCGGAUUAUGUUUCUUUAAGAGCCGGAAUACUGGAUCACAUUUCUCUGUCAGUUGUGAGAUGAACCGAGCGAUGUAAUUCAGCCUCCCUAGGAAACCUCGAACCUCCCUCUGAGUGCGCGGGGGAGGUAAAUCUCGUAUUGCCUUUACUUUGUCUGGGUCAACCUCGAUCCCCUUUUUGCUAACUAUGAAGCCUAAUAACUUCCCUGAUCUGGCCCCGAACGUGCAUUUGGCCGGGUUAAGCUUGAGCUGAAAUUUCUUUAAUCUCAAAAAUAACCUUUUCAAAACCUGAACAUGCUCUUCUUCCGUUCUAGACUUCGCGAUCAUAUCGUCAACAUAGACUUCGAUCUCCUUGUGCAUCAUGUCGUGAAACAAAGUCACCAUAGCUCUUUGAUACGUUGCUCCCGCAUUCUUCAAUCCGAAGGGCAUUACCUUGUAACAAAAUGUUCCCCAUAAGGUAAUGAAUGUGGUUUUCCUCAUGUCUCCGGGAUGCAUCUUUAUUUGAUUGUAUCCAGAGAAACCGUCCAUGAAAGAAAACAAUGAAUAGCCCGCCGUGUUAUCUACCAAAGUAUCAAUGUGAGGCAGUGGAAAGUUGUCCUUUGGACUAGCCUUGUUUAAAUCCCUAUAAUCCACACACAUUCGUACCUUUCCAUCUUUUUUGGGAACAGGGACGAUGUUGGCUACCCAAUCCGAAUACUUGACCUCUUGUAAGAAACCAGCGUCGAAUUGUCUUUUGACUUCUUCUCUUAUUUUUAACACAAUGUCAGGUCUCAUUCUCCUAAGCUUCUGUUGAACGGGUUUACAAUCCUCCUUUAUGGGUAGACGAUGUACCACAAUGUUAGUAUUUAGCCCAGGCAUAUCUUGGUACGACCACGCGAAAACAUCCUUGAACUCUCGGAGCAAAUUGAUGAGGUCUUGCCUUGUCUUUGCGGUAAUUUCAGUUCCAAUUUUCACCUCCUUUCCAUCCUCUAGGCUCACUAUUUCUAACGAUUCCUUAUGAGGUAGGAUAUGCUUAUCCUCUUGUUCCAUCAUUCUUAACAAGUCCGGAGAUGCAUCAUAAUCUUCGUCAUUUUCAAAGUCGUGGAAUCUCUCUGAACACACUUCUUGCUCAAAAAUAGGCUCCGCGUUUGAGACAGCAUCACUCAUGUCAUUGAUAUCUGAAGACCUAUGUGGGCAGAUCAAAUAAUAUACCAAGAAUAUAAAUUUAUGAAUAUGUUUGUGCAAAAGAAUCACAAAUGAAAGAAUUGUUUGUAAGACAAUCAACCAAAUAAAAAAUAUGAAAGGAAAAAAAAGUGACUGAUCGAGAUGAACGUAGACACGUAUUUUAUUAAAAUAAUGAUAUUUAGGCCCAAUGCCUAUUUCACAAAAAAUUUCGUAUCGUUUCUAGGCCAACAAACAACAGGAAUGUUUUGAGCAUUACUCUGAAUAAGCCCUAAAGACUACAGGGAUUUCUUCAGCAGUCCAAUUGUUUAGCUCGCUUCCAGGCUCAUAAGGGCGGAUCUCCAACAAAGCCCUCCUUUCCGUUGCUUCUAUGGUGUUAAUAUAAACGUUUUCCAACAUUCCUCCCAUGCCGCUACCGGACACCCCACAUUCAGAAUGAAUAAAUCCUCCCGACACAAAAGAUGAAGAUAUGUGGGGAAAGGUUAAAGGCUCACACUUAGCUUCAUGUCCAUUCAAACGCGCCCUUCUUCUCGCUUGUCUCUUCUCUACUUCUUUCUUCUUCUGCUUCAUGUCUGGCUUGUACCCUAAACCAAAUCUAUCAAACUUUUCCCUCGGCAUUGGUGCCUCAAUCCUCCCCUGAAGAUAUUUUCCCAAUCCUUUCCCGGGUAAGGCUCCUCUUCCUACCAUCAAUCGCAAUCCCAUCUCAGUGGUCCUGGACACUUUCGGUACUGGAAUCCUAUUUCCCUCCGCAAUAAACAUCGCGUUCACAAAUUCUAACGACCGAAAAGAACAUUCCAGUGCCUCAUCGUUGAUGUCCACAUAAGGUGCCUCGCUAGUCAUCAUUGCGAUAAUAUCCUCCUCUGCAUCUAUUGUUACCAACCGAUCCUCCGAUACCAACUUCACCUUCUGAUGUAAUGAUGAAGGUACCGCUCCUGCUGAGUGUAUCCACGGUCUCCCCAAUAGACAGUUGUAGGAGGGUUUAAUAUCCAUUACCAAGAAAUCCACCUCAUAAGUGACUGGGCCAAUCCUUAAUGGUACUUCAAUUCUCCCCAUAACCUCCUUUUUUGUUCCAUCAAAUGCCCUUACUAUGCUCUGGCAUGCUUUCAUGUGCGAACUGUCUAUUGGUAAUCGACUAAGAGUGGACAAAGGCAAUACAUUUAGUGCAGAUCCAUUAUCGACCAAGGCCCCCGGGAGUGUGUACCCUUUGCAUCGGACAGUAACGUGGAGGGCUUUAGUAGAACCUCUUCCUCCGGAUGGUAUUUCAUCAUCAUUGAAGAAGAUAAAAUUGUCAGCACCAAUAUUGUUGAUCAACCGAUCCAACUUGUUUACUGAAAUAUCGUCAGCCACAUAUGUUUCGUUUAGCACCUUUAAGAGUGCAUUCCGAUGUACUUCUGAGUUUAAGAGUAAAGCUAAUACCGAAAUGCGGGCUGGCUGUUUGUGCAGUUGCUCCACAACACUGUAUUCGCUGUGUUUCAAAAACUUCAAAAACUCCUUCGCCUCUUCUUCUUUUAUUGGUUCAUUUACCAAUGGUUCAACUUCUACUGCCUUCCCUUUCCUCUGUUCUUUCUUCCAAUUCUCUUCCCUGGACGACUCUGCUUGAGCGUCAUAUCUUUUUCCCUUGCGCGUGUAAAAAACUGUUUCCUGAUUUCUUUCUGCUUCUUUUCCCAAAAUGGUCACAUUACACCCGUAAUUCCACGGCACCAUUUUGUUAUCUUUAUAAGAGAAAUUUGAUGGUUUCUGGAUUACAAUUUUCGGCGUUACCUGAGCCCUAACCUCAUUACCCUUAGGGCGGGAGAUAAUGACCACAGGAUGAUUUAUUUUUGGAGCCUUUGUUCCCAACUCUGUCGCGCAUAUGCUCCUCAUUUCUUUCACAUCUUCAUAAAACCUCAUCACCUUGUUAUCCAUCAUGCUUUGAACCAAGGCCUUGAAUCCUUCACAUUCUUGGAUUUCAUGCCCUGUUUCAUGGUGAAAUUCACAAUAAUUUCCCAUCUCAUGCCCUUUCUCAGAAUCUGAAAUAACCAAACCUCUUUUCGCCAUUUCUUUCCAGACCCAUUUCAAUGGAGUUUUUACUUCAGCAAUGUCAGUCUUGACUUCUUCUCCCGUACCUUCGCUAACCAUAUUCACCCCCUUAUCUGCGUGAUUAGGUAACGGAUUCUUUGCGUUAGGUGAGUCGUCAAGUUUGACAACACCUAAAUUGAUAAGUCCUUCUACUACCUUCUUGAAGGCAGUACAAUUUUCUAUCGAGUGCCCAGAAAUUCCCGCAUGAUAAUCACAUUGCGCGUUCGUAUCAUACCAUUUUGGAUACGGGGGUUGUAGAGGACUCAAGUAACGAGGAGCAACAACAUGUGCAUCGAAUAAAGUCUGAUACAACUCCUUGUAUGACAUCGGGAUUGGCGUGAAUUGGGGCUUUUCAGUAGUUUGCCUAGCUCCUGACUCUUGUCUUGAUGAUCCCUGUUGAUUAGCAACCACCUUCUUUGGUUGAUUCACGGUAAUUGACCUACCAUAAGCAUUCACAUUAUUCACUUCAUUUUCUCUUUUCCUCGGGGGUGCCCUCCUAUUAUUUUCUCCUCCAUCUAUUUUUCCACUUUUAAUGGCAUGCUCAAUCAUUUCACCAUUCAUGAUUAUAUCUGAGAAAUUUCUUGAAGCGCUUCCCAACAUGUGAGUGAUGAACGGGGCUUUCAAAGUAUUAAUAAAAAGCGUCGUCAUCUCUUUUUCCAAAAGCGGUGGUUGCACCUGAACCGCCACCUCUCGCCACCUCUGCGCAUAUUGUCUGAAGCUUUCGUUCGAUUUCUUCUCUAAAUUUUGCAGAGUUAUCCUGUCAGGCAUCAUUUCUGAGACAUGAUUGUAUUGUCUCAAGAAAGCCUGUGCUAAAUCCCUCCAAGUAGCAAUUUUAGCUCGGCUCAGCUGAUUGUACCACUUUGACGCCGCUCCCGUAAGACUUUCCUGAAAGCAAUGUAUUAAUAAUUGAUCAUUAUUAAUAUGCCCCGUCAUUCUUCUACAAAACAUAGUAAUAUGGGAUCCUGGGCAACUAGUCCCGUUGUAUUUCUCGAAUUCCGGCAUCUUAAAUUUGUAAGGGAGCACCAAGUCCGGAACCAAGCUCAGAUCCUUUGCAUCUGUUCCAUAGCUUUCGAUGCUUUCUAUUGCCCUAAACUUCUCUUCUAUCCAUUUCCAUUUCUCCUCAAAUUGUUUUGGAAAUUCCUCCUUCGCCUUGUCCUUUUCAACCAUCUCGUCAAGAUCUGGGACCGCAAUAUUAUUCGGGCCAUCACCGGGAUUAAAGCCCGCUCCGGGUUGAAAAUUCAUUGGGAUUGAAGCAUCGCCUUGGAACUGCUGGGGUCUAACCGACACGGAGGGUCUCCGCGAAUGCAGCUCAGUCUGUACUUGCGCAUGCGGAGGCGUGAAACCUGGAGGAUAAAGUGGUUCACCAUUGUUUUCUUCUUCACUAACAAUCACAGGCCCUUUACCCUUAUCUACUCCCUUCAAUAAUUGCGUCAUCUUAGCCACCAGAUCAUUUUGGGACUCCUCCAUCUUUUGUACCAUGUCACGCUGAAUCUUUUCUAUUUGCUCUUUCAUUUACGCCUGCAACUGGUCUUGCAUUUCUUUUUGAAGUCGCUCUAGCUUCUCCAACCUUUGGUCCAUAAUUUUUGUCUUUGCUCGGGUGCCGUAACUUUGUUGGUUUUCCAGGUUAACUGAAAUGAUUUUAUUCGAUUAGGUUUUUUUUAAUGGUCAUUAAUGCAUAUGAUGUGAUGCAAUGCAUGAAAGAGAAUGCAAAGAAAAAGAGGCACUGAUUUUAAUUCAACUUCAUUAGAAAACUUUACUAGAUAAAGAGUUUCUUUACAUAAAAUAGACUACAUAUAUGGCUUUGCCCUCACACUCAAAGCCUUAACCUUUCUAAGAAGCCAAGCUAAUUCUCGGCCCCUGUCCGACUCUGACUCAUACUUCAAACUUAAUAGAUCAGCCUGAACCGCUAGAGUUUGCAGAUGAUCAGCCACUUCGCGCACCUGAGUCACCGCCUCUCCCAUAAUAUAAUCUCUUUCUCCAAUCUGCUCUUGAGACCGACGGAAUUGUCCUUGCCACUGCUCAUUACUUUCUUCUAGAAGCUCUAUCCGGAUUUCACUAUUUUGCAAUGCAUUCUCUAGCCCCCCUAUCUGUGUUUUUAAAUCUUUAAUUUUGUCUAAGCUCGCCCUUAAUUCAACCGUAGUAUUACGAUUACAGUACUGGCGAAGCGAUCUUUCCAGUUCUGUUAUCCGGACCUUCAACUCUGUCUUCUCGUCUUGGCAAACUAGUAGACUCUUUCCCAAGGCGGCUUCUCGAGCCCGAGCAUCCUGAAAUUUCUUUUCCCAUUGAUUAGCUUUCGUCUUUUCCUCCUGAAUUUCUUGUCGCCAUUGUUCUGGUGUUUUACCCAAGCCAGCGGCUCUUACUGACUUACGCAACUUCUUGUAAUCUGUCUUCAGGCUGUCCAAAUCUUCUUCUGCCUUGUUCUUUCCUUUCCUCAAUUUGUUGGCCUCUAAUCUUUGAAUGUCCACAUCCAGUCCUAACUGCAUUUUUUCUUCCUCAAGUUGUUCUAUCUUCUUCCCCAAUUCUAAACUUCUUUUUUCGAAUUCUUGUUUGAUGAUUUCUAUCUCAGAAGGCAAGACUUGUAAGUGUUCCUCUAAAGAUCGAGCCGUUUCUGAAUUUGACGCCGGGAUGUUGUCGUUGAUCCUUUGAUUACGCCACUGACCAUACUCGGGGGUAAUUGUCGGACCCACAGCUAAGAUCUUCAUUCGACGAGUCUGGUUCCAGGCACUAGAUAUUUCUCGAACCUUUUUCUUGUAAUUGUCCUCCCUAUAGGAAAAAUCACUAUAAGCCAACCCCUGGGUUACUGGUAUGAAUUGUCGUGAUCUAUACUGUCUUGACACGAGUAGAGGAGCAUAUCCAAUAGCUCCCCAUAUCCCGAGCAGCGGAACCCAGUCAAAAUCUCCACAUCGGUACAAUAUCUCAUCAGGAAUUAACCAAGGAGCCCUCCAUUCAAUAUCUUCAUCUUGGAGAUUCUGGAGUAUCUCUAUCCAUUUUUCUUCUGAAAUAUCAUCCCGUCUUGGCGUGGCCACCAAUUCUCCUAGAGGGGAGUAGCUAUCGGAGAAUACCCGGUAAGAGACCUUUUCGACUUUCCAGAAGUGGCUAUGGAACCAUGCCAAUAAGAGCUGCGCGCAUCCAAUAAACCUUCCCUCCCCUGCUUUUCGACACGCAUUCAAAGAUCUAAAAGUUUCAGCGAGUAUUGCCGGAACCGGUGUAACCCCUUUACCAAGCCGAUCGAACAAAUCAGAUACAGCCUCGUCUAUGUGUCCUAAAGCUUUGGGGAAAACCACUAGUCCAUAGAUACCUAAAGCGAAGACAUCGACCCUUUUCUUUAAGUCAGGAUGUACAAGCACCAAAUCUCGUAAACUUUUCCAAGGAACACAUUUACUGUCGCCCUUCUGUUGGAUCCGGGCAGCGACCCACUGCUCGCUCAUUCCAGUGAUGUUCAUUAAUUUCUUUAACAACGGAGGGACACAAGCAGCUCUGGAAUAAGCCUUGUCGACUUGAAUCUUUGGGCACCGAAGUAAGGUCGUAUACUCCUCUACCGUAGGCGUCAAAUCUACCUUCCCAAAAGUGAAACAACUGUAGGCAGGAUUCCAAAACUGAGCAAGGGCUCGGAAUAAAUACUUGUCCACUUUGACACUGAGCAGAUAAGGUAGGUCACCAUAGUUACAAUAGAACAGCUCCUUGGCCUCGACAUCCCAUUGAUCCCAGACUUCUUUCAUUUCUCGAAGGUCAUUCUGGAUUACACUGAUACGGGUAAAAUCCCACAAUUCUGACACGUACCCUUCGGUAAGACUAUCGCCUUUCUCCCGUUGCGUCGUUUCAGCCCAUAUUCGCACAGCCGCAUUAUCCUCUACUUUAUCAACAAACCCCUUUUCCAUGAUAAGCUUUCUACUAAGAAACUGAACGUAAAUCGACACCUCUUUUAGGAUGAAGAUGCCAUGCAAUCACAAGCAAAGUAAAUUAGCAUUAAACACAGCAUAAGAUUUAAAAUAAACGACAAAUAAAUACAACAUUCAUUUAGGUAGGCACUAAAAUUUUAGAGUAGCUCUACCUAAGUCGGUUCCUAUGGCUCAUUACAUGUGGUUUGGUUCUAAAGUAGGGUACCUGAACCAGCAAAUUCCUCGAUCCUCACCCAUUAUAGGCUCAUACGGACCAAGUUCGAUUCAGGGGGAUACAUUUCCCUAUGGCCAUGCGGAGAUGAAAAUCUCACGAAGACAUAGGUACGGAUAUAUCCCGAAAGCGAUUCACUAUCCCAUGCGGAGGUGAAAACCUCACGAAGGCGUAGCUCCUCACUCCCACUUAAAAAGGUGUGACCAACGGUCAUGCAAUGCAAUGCGCAGAGGUAUAAGAUAAAAUACAGAACACGACCAAAAUAUAACUCAAAACAAAAGAGAUGCAGUGAGAGGAUCGUAAAUUUCAAUCGAAUUUUCAACUUUCGACAAAAAGACAAGAAAUAAUCAACACGUGGCUUGACUCUCUUAUGGUGUCCCCAGCGGAGUCGCCAAGCUGUUGACACCAUUUUUUUGAUGAAAACGGGGUCGACUUGGAUUUUGAAAAUGAAAACGGGAGUCGCCACCAAUCUUUUAUUAAGGUGUGAUUGGAUCACCUCGAAAAGCGGUCGUUUUUUAAUAAACGGUUUGAUUUUAUUAAAACAACAAGUUUGGUCCGCGAAAUUCAGAAAACGGGUUCGGGAGUCGGUUACGCACGAGGAAGGAUUAGCACCCUCGAUACGCCCAAAAUUGGUACCUUAGUUGAUUACUUAAUGUCUUAAUGUCAAAAAUUGAAAACUUAGAAGAAUUAAAAAAAAUACGAUCCUUGUAUUAAAACGUUGAAAAUUUUCAGGAAAAUGGGCAUAUUUCACAUUAUUCGAGAAAGAGAAUCAUAUCCAGUAAGUUAGAAUACAAUGUCUCAAAUUCCCAAUACGUAAAUGAAUGCCAGAAUUUUACUUAUUUAAAAGAUAUUUUAUUAUCUCGGGUUUAGGAAAGGGAUCAUGCCCAGUAAGUUAGGACACGAUCUUUUCUUAAUUCCCGAGAUCGUUUCAAAACUUGAGUUUGAAAAGAUCAGUGUGUUUAGAUUUAUUGUGGAAAUCGAAACCCAGUAAGUUAGGGUACGAUCCUCUCGAAUCUAAACAAAAAAUAUCACUUUUUUUAAACAAAUUUUAUUAUCGAGUAAAAUAAAAACAUGAAGUCGUAGUAAAAAAUGUGAAAGCAAAUUACAUUGUUAUACAUGACAAAAUCAUAAUGAAUACAAAAGUGUAAAAAUGAUACGAGCGAUAGCAACAAUAUAAAAUAAAUAAAAGUCAAACCCACAAUCAUAUAAAAUAACAAUAUAUAUAAACAAAUAAAUUAAACAUUCGUUCAAAAUAAUAAUGAAAAUGAAAUAAAUAAAUAAUGAAUACAAUCAAAAUUCAAAGGGAUAUAUAUAUUUAUGUGUAUAGACAAAAGAAAAUAUAAUAUGUGUGUAUUCAUAAAUUACAAUGUAUAUAUGUAAAGUAUACUUUAAAAUAUAAAAAAUAUGCAUAUAGAUAAAAAUAUGUACACAUAUAUAUAGAUGUAUAAAAUUAUGGAAUAUGAAAAUAAUGAAAUGCAUAUAUAAAGUAGGCGCAUGAAAAUAUGUAUGUACAAAUUAGAAUUUAAAAAUAAUGAAAAUAUACCGACGUAUACAAAUAAGUACGUUAAUUUAUAUAUAUAUAUGUUUAAAAUAUAUUGAAAAUAUGUAUGUAUAUGUCUAUGCAAAUUAAGAUAUACAAAAACAUAUAAAUAUAUACAUAAAUAUAUAUAUACUUAUAAAAAUAAAAAUAUGUAUGUGUAUAGAUAUAUAUAAAAAGAAAUAUGAGUAUACGUAUAUAUAUUAAACAAAUUAUAUGUAAAAUAUGUACAUGUACAUAUACAAGCACUUAUAUGAUAAUAAAAAAAUAUAUAUAUUUGAAAAUACAUAAGUAUAUAUGAAUAGAGAUGUAAAAGUAACAACAAUAAUACCAAUACUAAUAAUAGUAAAGAUGAUAAUAAUAAUAAUAAUAAUAAUAAUAAUGAAGUUAACAAAAAUUGACUAAAUAAUAAAAUAUGCUAAAAAGGGGCCUUAAAUCGAAAUGAAAUAGAACAUAUAGGGCCAAUUCGAAAUAAAGGAAAACGAAAGGGAUCCAAUUGCGACGCGCGUAAAAAAGGGAAGGACCGAAACAGAAAAUAAACCCAAAAUCCCAAAACGCAGCACCUCAAUGGACUAAAAUAAAACAAAAAUAAAAUGUUAGGGCUAAAUCAAAAUAAAAUAAAACAACAAAAUAGGACCAAAUUGAAACACGCCGCGAAUCAGAGGGACUGCGCGCAUAAAUAGCCCAAAAAUUAAAAACACGCGGAUCCUUCGGGUCGGGUCGGGUCGACGCGCGGAUCCCCUUUGCUAAAACGGCGUCGUUUCAUUUUGAAUAUAAAUAAUAGAAAAAAACAAAAAAAACAAAUCAGAUUCAUUUUUUAGAAAAAAAAGCUGAGAGGGAGAGUCUCUCUCUCAUUCUUUCAGGCCCGGCGUUGGUCAUCGGCCGAACUAGGCCUCCGGCGAUUCUCCGCCCUAGCGCCGCCGCGUAUGGUGGCCGGAGUAUCCCAAAAAUCGGAUUUUUUCAUCCUUUUCGAAGUUAAGUGCGUCUUAAGCACGAAUCGAAGGGUUAAAUCCGAAAAAGGAGGUCCGAAACUUGAAGAACGAGGAGAGACCACUCGCCCUUCCCCUUUCGACGUAGCACAGGUAACCCCUAUUCCUAUUUUGUUUUGUUAAAAGAGUUGUAGAAAAUAAAAAAAAUAAUAGAAGACAGGAAAUAAAACGCAAGAAUCUGAGAAAAAAAUCUGAAAUCCACCUUUUCUUUCGCUUUUUUAUCUUCUUAUUAUUCACUGAUUGUUGUUAAUUCCUUGUUUGAUACCCAAAAUCCCCCAAGCCCCCUUUUACAUAUUAAAUCUGGCUUUUUAUAGCCGAAAGAAAGAAAAAAAAUUUGUCUUCGUUUCUGCUUGCGUGUUUGUUUCUCUUUGCAGGUGGAGCGGGUGGAGCAGGUGAGCAGCGAUGGGACGUGCGGCGGCCAGCAAGUGAACGGCGGAGUUGGUGGGUCUGCUGGUAUGGGUUCUUUUGCUUCUUUCUUGGGCCCGGGCAAAUGGGCCUGCAACAGUUACCAAAAUAUAAAUUUUAGAAUUUUUAUAAAUAUUUAGGUUUUUAAAAAUUAUUUUAAUUUUUUUUUGGAAAUUAUUAAACUUUUUUUGUUGGAAGACCAAUUUGAUCAUUUUCAAAAUUGAGCACGGAUCAAAGAGAUCUUAACUCUUAUUUGUUAUUUGAGUUAUUCAAAUUAUAAAGUUCAACUCGACUAGAACUUGAAACUUAAAUUAAUUAUUCGAGUUGACUCGAAAAAAUUAAAUAAUUUGAAUAACUCGAUUAAAUUAACUCAAAAUAAUAAUAAUAAAACAAUUUUUCAAAUUAAAUUAAAUUUUACUCACCUUUAAACUUCUCCGAUCUGCGGUAUAAUAUCUCUAAGCUUAAGCACCUUCUUCCAAGCCCAACUAUGUCAUUGCUUAACUUGUACCUGCCAAACAGAAUCUCCUUUCACAAUAUACUGCUCAACCCAUGCAACCUACAAGGAUUUUGACUUCACCUAAAUUAGCCUAAGACACCUCAUCAUGCAGGCUUUAUCCCAACUAGCCAAAUCCUUAACUCCAAGUCCUCCUUCUGCCUUAGGAUGACAAAAAUUCUGCCAACUGACCGAGAAUGACUUCCGCAAGGAUUUUGCCUCACCAAAAAUUAUAUCAUUCCCCUUUCAAAGAAAAGAAUUACAGAAUUGUGUAACUUUCUUAAUGACUUAAAAAAGGAAGAAUGAAGAGUCUACACCAAAAAUUUUGCAGACCGAAAACCACUUAUUGGAGAAGCUGAAGUCUAACAUCUUCGAAUAUGCUUAGUAAUCUUAUCCACCAAAACAUCACAAUCAUAAUUCUUCAAACUCCUUGAUGAGUCACUAAACUAACUAAAAUUACGACAAAGGCAAACGCACUUAUCGAAUAAUAAUAUAGCUAUGGUGAAUUGAGAAUAUCGUAUCCAUGAGAACUAAAAGUACUAGUACUUACUAUUUUUCUAUUAUGUAACUGAUAAAUUGAAGAAAUUGUUUUUAAUCUAAAAUUAACUAAACUAAUUAUUAAGAACACAACAAAAAAUGAAUCAAGAAAAUAAUCGAAUAAAACCAAUGAGAUAGACAAUACCCAGGAAAAAAUCCACCUAGACUUCACUUAUUAUUCUGAAUCUGAAUUAAAUGAUUUAUUCACUUGUAACUUGAUCCGUAGAAAUCUCUAAAUUAUGUUAAUAUCUCUUUCAAGAGUAAAAACAAUUGACUAUAGGUUGAUUAAUUAAAAUUUCUUUCUAAUUAAAACCCCUAUUGUCGCAUUAACUCAAUUUAUGGAUUGCCCUAUUAGAUUUGACUCUAAUAUAGUAGAUUUAUGUCGUCCUAUUUUUAGGAUUGCAUGCAACUCCACUCAAUUAUGCUAGAUUUACUUUGAAACAGGGGCUUUUGCUCCAUUGAAAUAUGCACAUUAAGCAUAAUUAAAAUCCUGAAAAUAUUAAAACACGAAUUAAGUAUACAUAAUUGAGAACAAGAAUCAAAUAUUUAUCAUGUAAUUUAGAAAUUAAAUAAUAAGAUUCAUAUAGGUUUCAUCUUCCCUAGGUAUAUAGGGAAUUUAGUUCAUAAUUUGGAAUAACAUCAUCUCAAAGUUAGGAAAACAAUAAGACAUAAAGAAACCCAAUAAAAUUUUUGAAGAAAUUGAAUGGAGAUCCGCUUCUGAAAUGAAUCUAAUGGCGUUCUUCGAGUCUUUUCUUCAUUCUCCUCUACAUGUUCCCCUAGGUCUUCUUCUAAUAUGUAUUUAUAAACUUUAGAAUGCUCGGAAACCCUAAAAAUUGAGUUUUUCCGCGUAACAGGGAAGUAGGGUGCGAAAUCGACACGGGCUAGCACAUGAGCGUGUGGUCAGCCCGUAUGGCUCACAGGGGCGUGUGGCCAACCCGUGUGGAAAUGCUCAGGCCGUGUGGAUCCUGAAAACAACUUUUUUUGCCUGAUUUGGGCUCUUUUUUUGCUCCUUUCGCUCCCUUAUGCUCACCUAAGUAUAGAAACAUGAAUUUAAAGGAUUAGGAGCAUCAAAUUCACUAAUUCACAUAAUAAAUCAUCCAAAAACGCAAGAAUGAGAUUAAAAACAUGUUACUUUUAUGGCUUAUCACUCCUCCUCACUAAAGGCAUGCACAAAUACCCGACUGGCAAUUUCUUAAGUUGAUUGAGUCAAAUUAUUGAAAGAAAACACUACUAUCAAGGAAUUAAAAUAUCCAUUAUAAAAAGUAAUUAGUGAAUAGUUUUGAAAAAUUAAAUAAAUAAAUUUCUUAAGUGCAUUAUUUGCAAAUAUUAACCUUUUGGAAAUUGAUAAAUAUUAAUAACGUGUCAAUAUAAUUGUAAACUAUAUUCUUGGUGAUAAUUAUGUCAUGUUCUUAUUAUGUAAAUUCAUGAUAUUAUGUCGCUUUUAGACCUGUCCAUGGGUCGAGCCCGGAAAAAAAUUUCGGCCCGACUCUUAGGCCCGGGCCCGGCCCGGCCCAAAAUAUGGGCUUAAAAUUUUGCCCGGGCCCGGCCCGGGAAAAAAAUAAGCCCGAGCCCAGCCCGGCCCGACCCGUUUUUUAAUAAACACAAAAAAAAAUUUAAAAAUAAAAAAAUAAAAAUAUUUUUAAAGUAUUUUAAAAUUAAAAAAUAAAAAUAAAAAAUAUUUAUUUAUUAUAUUUGGGCCGGGCCGGGCCUGGGCCAAAAAAGUUGAGCCCGAGCCCGGCCUAUUUUUUAAACGGGCCUCGUUUUUUUGCCCAAGCCCAUAUUUCGGGCCUAUAUUUUUACCCAAACCCUCCCAUAUUUCGGGCGGGCCGUCGGGCCGGGCCGCAUGGACAGGUCUAGUCGCUUUGAAUAAAUUUGUCAAAUAGCAUAUUUCAAUUAAUAUGAAGUAGCAUAAGAAAUCAUUUUACACAAGUAAAUUGAAAAUAAGUUAAAAGUGCAUAAAUAUUCAAGCAGUAGACACAUAUCCAAACAAGUAAAAACAAAAAUUUAAGAAACACGACAUUGUCGUCUAGCUGCCAUCAAAUUAGUAGUGAUGUCAUUACAAACUUUUGUCAUUUCAUUAGUACUCAUACACUAAACUUCUUGAGUAGAGUUUUUUGUAUAUUGAAAAUAUCUCCCGACAAUGUUGAUUUUUGUAGAUUCACAGUGGAGGGUGUCUUUUUUUGUUUUUUUAGAUUUACUUUGGGCUUUUGAGAUGAAAGUGAAAAUGGGAUAAUGAAGGCUACUGAUAUCUUGGCACCCCUGUUAGGUUUGAUAGCAUGCGGCAAAGGGAGUAAAUUUUUAGCAAGCAUAGUCAGAUAUGUCAUUCCGCAUAUCUCAUUCUCAAUCAAGUGUUAGUAAAAGUUGUCCAUUGCUAUGUAAAAUUUUUAGACCAAUAGUCUGAACAUCUAAAGAUUAAAGCCAAUGAGGUAUAAACAAGUGAUUUUGCGAAAACAAACUAAGAGAAAUCAAGUUUCUCGCUAAAUCUCAACAUUAAUUGUAAAAAGAUGUGAUAUUGUUUUGUGGUAGAUGCAUUAAUCUUUAGAUGUUUUAUUAGUCCGCCAAUUCAUAAAAGUUUGGCAUGCUCUAAUAAUUGCUCUUACAGAUUUAUAUGAAUCACUAUAUAUUAAAGUUUAAAUAAAAAUCCUUCAAGGAUUUAGAAUGUUGGAAACAUAUAGAAUGAUCUAACAUGCACAUAUAUAGAAGGAUUAUGAUCAAAGUUUUUUUAUGAUUAUUGUUAAACUCUUGGAGAUAUCAAAAUAUAUUCUCCAGAAUUUUUAGUUACCUAUAACUUUCAAAAAAAAUGAUGAUAUAAACGUUUAUCAAAUCUAUUUAAGUGAUUAUUUGAAAACUUAAUAUUCAAGAUUGAAAUAUGUAGAAUAUGAUAAAUUACGUGACGUUGUCAUUAAGGGGUAAAUAUGCGCUGUAUUUUUUUUCUCUUAACUAAGGUUUUGUCCAACUGAAUUUUCUUAGUAAGGUUUUUAAUGAGGUAAUAAGAUAUGUGUAUUAUAAAUAAGUGUACUCUUUUUCCAUCACUAAGAUUGUUUUUCUCAUAGGGUUUUUAUCUCAGUAAGCUUUUAAUGAGGUAUAUUAUCUACUAAUGGAUAUUUAAGAGGGAGUGUUGUAGAUAUCCAUCAAGAUCAAGAUAAGUUUGAUGAAUUUUAGGACUCAUACCUAUAAAUAUAGACUUUGGAGAGUAUUGUAAACAACCCAAUUGAUCAAUAAAAAUAGGGGUGAAGUCAGGAAAUUUUUUGAUGGGGGUCGGAAUUAAAUUAUAUAUUUUUAAAAUAUCAAAAAUGAAAUUUCAUCAUUUUACUACGGGUAUCAUUUAAUAUUAGGUAGUCAAUGCUUUUAUCUUAUCGUCACACUUGCUUUUGAGGUUGGGUUGAUUUGAUAUUCAUGACUAAAUUUAUGAGAUUUUUUUAUCAAUCCUUUUUUGUUUUGUUUCGAAAUUCCCGUAUUAUUUAAUACUAUACACCACUUUCAUCCUUCAAUUAUUGUGGUGAACCAAUGACGUCGAAAAUAGUAAAUAAGCACAACCGGAACUGUAAUUAACAUUUAAUCAUUUGAUUAAAAGUGUGUCUUACAUUGUGUGCUUUUAGCUAAAAAAAUUGAUUUAUUUUUUUAAAUAUUUUUUAAAAAUGUUCAUUUUAUUUAAUUUAUCUGGUAAUAAUUUAAUUUUAAUUUUAAAAUUUGAAAAGUAGAUAAAUUAAAUUUUAAAAAAUAAAAAUAUAAUGAUUAAAUUUUAAAUUUAUGAAUAGUACAAUAGUGACUGUGCUUGGCAUUAAAGUGGGGGCCACUCUUUGUCGCCUCCAUUUCUCCUUCCCAAGCAAUAUAAAUAAAGAAAAAAGCCUGAUUUUGGGAGGAAAGUUUGAAUGGAAAAACAAGAUUACAAGUGAAGAAAGAUAAUGGUUGAGGAAGUGGGAGAGCAUUUGAUAUUUUGAGGCAAAGGCUCGCUUAUAGUAAAGAUCCCGACGGCGGUGGCUAGGGCCAAGGAAGAAAGAAAAAAUAAUCUAUCAUUCCUUUACAAGAUAAAUAUAUAAUUUUUUUAAUACUUACUCUAAUUCAUUAUUCAUCAUGUGAAAAAUAAAUUCUUUUAUUAAAAUAGUAUUUAAAAAAUUUCAACUUAAUCUAAAUAUUAACUAUUUGAACUAACUAAUAAUAUUAUAAAUCAACCUCAACACUAGACUAUUGAAAGCAUUCCCGUCAUCUCCAACACAACGACCACAUAUAUCCGCAAGGAUACCUUCCGGCAAUGACAGUAGUCUAGAAGAUUGGUUUUCAAAUGUUAUUUCUUGUUUCAUUUUUCACAUGUGCUAACACGAACAUGUUUACACUACUCGCUCUUAGAAGAGAAACUUGAAAAGAAAUUAUUUUUAAAAAUAAUUUCUUGUGAAAGAGGCUGUUUUCAUUUUUCUAGGAACAAGGAAGAAAACAGUAAACAGACUUAUCAGAUAAAAUUAUGUUUCAUAGUCAAGAUUGAUGUCCUUUGAAAACAUCCCAAAAUUGUUCAAGAUUACACAUGCUAGUGAAUGCUUUUAUUCAAGAUUGCACAUGCUGCUCAUGGUGGGUUGAUUUGAUAUUUAUGAGAUUUAUUUAAAUCAAUUUUGUUUACAGUUUCAGCCUUCAAUUAUUGUAGUGAACCAAUCAUGUCAAAAAUAUUAAAUAAGCACAAUACAACAAGGACUUUAAACAACUCUACCCAACUUUCAGCGAAUACAUACAAGAGCGAUUAGUGAGUUGUCGGGAAAAGUUUGGCUAUCUUUUUACACAAGAUAGGCAGUGGAGUAUUAGGGGUUAGCAGGACUCGCUCUCUUCAAAAUGGAAAGUUGUUUAUUUUCUUAAAAUUUUAAAUUAAUAAUUUGAUGAUAUUUCAGUAAGUUUUUUUAUGUUAUUGACAUAUAAUUUUAGUAAUUUUUUUAGUCUAAACUCUGAACUUUGAAAUCGAACCUCAAACUAUUAACCAUUAAUUAUGAGGUUCGAGACUUAGGGUUCGGGGUUCGAAGUUCAAAUUUAGAGUUCGAGGUUUGGGCUCAGGAUUUGGGGUUCAAGAUAAAAAAUUACCAUAAUUAUUAUGUGUCAAUGACAUAAAAAAAUUUACUGACAUGUCAUAAAAUAUUUUGUUAUGACAUGCAAAUUAUUUUGUUUGAUACAAAUUUUUUAUUGCUUUAAUAUAUGGUAUGAAUUGUUUGACCAGAAAUUAAUAUAUAUUUUUAAAAUUUUUAAUUUAUUUUACAGUUUACUAUCGAGGAGGAGUAACCAAAUUUACCAUAGGAAAGUAGGAUAUACAUUUGAAUGUAUCAUCAAAUAGAAAAGAGGUUUAACAAGUUCCCAUUCUCAUAGAAGAGGAGUAAGGAAAUCACAUACAAGAUUGCGAUAUGAGAGAGUAAAAAAGAGAUGCGAAUAUAGCCAAAACAAUAGGUGUGGGGAAUGGAAUCCCAAAGAAGAAGCUGGCAGCUGGGAUCCAUGUUUAUUGUCAUUCUUGGUUAAGCUAUUGCAGUGUUUGGGCCAUUGAUUACUGGUUUGAGCUGUUGUGAAAUUGUGUGGAUGAUGAUGACCUUUCUCGGCUUUGCAUUUUUUGUCUUAAUAUUCUUCCCUAUAAUAUAUAUUUUUUAUGGAGAAAAAAAAAACUAAUCCUUCAAUUUUAUUUGGAAUUGUAGUAAUUCCACUUUACCUGUUGCAGAAGCAGCAAUAGCUAGAUUGACGAAGCCUGUUGAAGUUUUUCUUUUCAAAAUUAUUUGCGAAGGCAAUAAUAGGGUUAAGGUAUGAUGAAGCUUCAUAAAUUCUGUAAUUAAGCUCCCAUAUCUUAUUCUAAUAAUUUUUUAAUCAAUUUCUGCAAUAAAAUUUUAAUAUGCGAAAUAUAUCAUUUAAAGACAGGUUUGUGUUUUUUUGAAAGAGACAAGUCCUUGUUACUUUGUCAAGUACAUAGAGCUGAAGCAUCCACAACAAAUACGUAAUCAAACGUUAAACAUAAUUUGAAUGUGCAGCAAAAGAGAAAAAUAACUUCAGAACAAGUAAACUCAUAUAAACAAACAAAGAGCUAUUAAGAGAAGCAUCAAUCACAUGUAAGUACAAUCAACAAUCAAACACAAAUGCAAACUACACAAGUUUCAGCUUCAGAUUAUUACAUGACAUUUAUUUAGAACAUAAAAAGUUGAAAAAAAUCAAAUUAUAAUGACAACAACAACUAACAUCACAAGUAACAAGGCAAAGAUCAAACCCUGUUUUCCAAUCUUGAGUUUUCCUGCAAAUGAAGUGGCACGUUUCAAAUAUGAUUACAUCUGAAUUGCUACAUGCCCCACUUCCACCAAUGCCGUAGAAAAUAGGGUGCUACACAAUCCCAGUAGACAAUAUAUUUGCACUCCAACUUUGAGCAUUCAAGAGCCACAUCUUCACAAGGCUUACCGCAUUUAUUACAAUCAAGAUAGUAAUACUUCUUCUUCACAAUGAUGAGUGGAUGUGGAUGAUUUGUUUCUUCAUAGAUGCUCCCGAGUUUGAGGAAUGGAUAGCUUCCAAGAACACAACCAACAUGAGCAGAAGUAUCACAUUUUGUAUAAUGAUAAAACCAACGAUUUGCAUCUCGACUUUCUUCGCAGAUAUCACAAUGAUGACUCUUUGAAUAACUAUUAUCAUCAUUAUCAGUGAGUGAAAGAAGAUGGUCAUCGCAUUUGUGACGAGCUGUAAUUGGAAGUGAAAACCAUCCAAGAUCUAGCACAAAAUUGCAGUCCUUACAACAAAAUGCCCUGUAUCCCCUUGUUGUAUCACCACAAGCAUUGCACUGACCUUCGUAGUCUCUAUAGAAAUAGAGGGGGUGAACAUGUUUCAAACAUGUUCGAGCACCAGGAGUAAGAGCAAUCACACAUCGGAGACAUUUAUUUUCCUCACAUCCAGAACAUUCAUAAGCAAAGGCAUUAGAUAUGUGCCAACAUUCUUGACACUCAAAAGCUUUGUCAGAAAUAAGGGCAAAAGGCUCUUGGCAAUGAUGAUGCCAAACAUUCUUCAUCUUAGUUAACUCGGCACACGCUUUAUGAAGAAAAAAACACAUUCUGGACAGUAAUAAAAUGGAUCCGAGAUUGGCAACAUACACCCGUUGCAACUAUUUUCAUAUCCUCCAACAAAGGGACCUAACAUUAGAUUAUGCAUAUGCUUGAAAUGCUUUAUUUUUGUAGCUUCUCCAGCAUCGUUCCUCUCAAUAACACUGAUGGAACUUUCAUGGGGCAUCUCAUCUUCAUUUUCUACUAUUUCAUAUUAAUCUUUAUCCUUCAUUGUGUUGGUGAAAAGAGGCAGCAGCAAAAUGUUAUUUGUCUUGCUUGGAUAGCAAGCCUCGAGCCUUGCUGAAGAAACAAACUCAGAAGCAAGAACAGAAACAAAUGCAAAAAUGGAAAACAAAAGGAGAGAGUAUUUUUGAAUGAAAAGAGCUGAUAUUUUUCAUUAAAAAAUCAAGAAGGCAUAAUGCCAUUACAUAUAAUAGAUAACAACAACAAAAUGAACAAGUCAUUACCUAAUGACAUACCUAACACCACUAAAUUUACAUUGGAAAUUGUUAAUCAGCUUGCUUAAGUUUCUUUGCUGAUUUUCAGUCAAUCAAUCAACAAAAAAAAAACAUCAUAAGGUUUACCAACUUAGUUCAACAUGAACUAGAUUACAAAAUAAUUAAAAAUACAAUCAAAACAUAACAAGUAGUUAGGCAACUUCAAGCUCCAGUUUCUGCACUUCAUAGCUCGACUGCUUGCUGCCACUUCUCCUUGCAUGGCCACCUUUGCAUGUCUUGCAUGGGAACUAAAUUCAACACUCCUCCUUAGUUUCCAUGCUAGAGACACCUAAUUGCCUUCUUAAUUUAAAAAAUUUAGACACAUUGAGUGCCUUUGUAAAGAUAUCAGCAAUUUGCUCUUCUGAAUUGCAAUGAACCAGCUCGAUUUCAUGAGCUUGCUCCAUCUCCCUUAUGACAUGUGGCUUGAUGUUGAAGUGUUUUGUUCUACCAUGAAAGAUAGGAUUCUUUGCAAUUGCAACAGCAGAUUUGUUGUCACAGUAAAUCUCUAUUGCCUUUUCUUGAUUUUGGUUUAAAUCAGCUAGGAUUUUUCUAAGCUAUAUGGCUUGAUUUACAGCAGAUGCAGCAGUAACAUAUUCAGCUUCUACUGUUGACUGUGCUACCAGACUUUGCUUUUUAGAACUCCAGCAAAACAUGCAUGAGCUAAGACUAAAUGCAUAUCCAGAUGUGCUCCUCAUGUCAUCACAAAAUCCAGCCCAGUCACUAUCAACAUAGCCUAUCAGCUUCAUGUUUUCAGCCCUUUUGAACAAUACACCAUGAUCAAUGGUGCCUUUGAUGUAUCUUAGCACUCUUUUAGCUGCUUGAAAGUGCUGAUCAUUGCAGCAAUUCAUGUAUCUGGAUAGCACACUAACAGCAAACAUGAUAUCAGGUCUUGUUGCAGUCAAAUACAACAGACUACCAAUGAGACUUUUGUAUAUAGUCUCGCAAAUUGGUUCACCACUCCCUUGCCUCGAAAGCUUCACUCUAACAGCCAUUGGUGUGCUUGUUGGCUUGCAGUUCUUCAUAGAGAACUUAUCCAGGAUCUUCAUAGUAAAAGAACUCUGACUAAGAAAGAUUCCCUUUGCUGUUUGCUUCACUUCCAUUCCAAGGAAGUAGUUCAUUCUGCCUAAAUCAGACAUUUCAAACAUUUCCAUCAUUUUUCUUUUGAAAUCUUCCAGCAUUCUUCUAUCUCCUCCAGUCACCAAUAAAUCAUCAACAUAGAGUGACAGGAUAAGCUGAGUUUCAGCUUGGUUCUUCUUCACAUACAGUGUUGGUUCACUGGGACUUCUCUCGAAUUCCAAACUGAGCAAGUAAGAAUCAAUUCAAGCAUACCAGGCUCGAGGAGCCUGUUUCAAGCCAUACAAAGCCUUUUUCAGUUUGUACACCAUGUGUUCUUUGCCAGUGAUCAUAAAUCCUUGAGGCUGCUCGAUGUAGAUCUCUUCUUCCAGGAAACCAUUGAGAAAUGCAGACUUAACAUCAAGCUGAUGAAUGGUCCACUGAUGUUGAGCAGCCAAGGCAACUAUCAUUCUAACUGUGUCAAGCCUGGCUACUGGUGCAAAUGUCUCCAGGUAGUCCAGACCAUACCUUUGGCUAAAUCCUUUGACAACAAGCCUGGCUUUUAGCUUGUUCAGACUGCCAUCUGCAUUCUGUUUUGCUCGAUAGACCCAUUUUACUCCAAUGGUCUUCUUUCCAGCAGGUUUAUCAACUAGCUCCCAUGUCUGGUUCUUCUCAAUCAUGUUGAUUUCAUCGACCAUAGCUAGUUUCCAACCUUCAUCUGCCUCAGCCUCUUCAAAACUGCUAGGUUCUGCUAUUGCAACAUGUGCCCUUUCAUAAAUAUCAUCUAGGGGCCUUGUGCCUCUCACAGGCAAAUCAUCAACAUCCAUUUCAGGUCCUAGCUGCUCAAGUUCAGCUUGAUUAGGCACCAGGUCUUCUGAAACUGCUUCUGGCUCAUUUUUCUCCCAAUUCCAGCAGGCUUUUUCAUCAAAGAUGACAUCUCUGCUCACCUGGACUUUGUUUGUCAAGGGAUCCAGAACCCUUAGCCCUUCUUGACUGAGCUGUAGCCUACUAGAACACCUGGUUGAGCCCUUUCAGAGAGCUUGUCUCUCUUUGCUACUGGUAUUUGUGCAUAACAUAGGCAACCAAACACCUUCAGAUGUGCCAAGGAAGGCUUGAAACCGAACCAAGCCUCGAAAGGUGUCUUGGAUGCAAGAGCUUUGGUAGGAAGCCUAUUCUGAAGAUAAACAGCAGUGUUUACUACCUCAGCCCACAUGGUCUUGGGCAGUUUCUUCUCAAACAGGAGACAUCUGGCCAUAUCCAUUAGACUUCUGUUCUUUCUUUCAACUACCCCAUUCUGCUGAGGUGUGUAGACAUUUGUAAGCUGGUGUUUGAUACCAGCAUCAUUGCAAAUGGCUUGAAACUGAGCUGAAGUGUACUCAGUGCGAUUUUCUGUCCUUAUCGAUUUCAUCUUGCAACCUGUUUCUGUCUCUACAACAGUUUUAAACUUCAUAAACACUUGAGCUACCUCAGACUUGUGUUUCAAGAAGAAAAUCCAGCAAAACCUUGUAAAAUCAUCAAUGAAGAGGAUGAAAUACCUAUUUUUGCUAAGUGAUUCAGUCCUCAUCGGGCCACAUACAUCAGAGUGCACCAGCUGCAGUCUUUCAGUAGCUCUCCAAGCUGAAUUUGUAGGAAAUGGCAGUCUUGCCUGUUUCCCCAUCUGGCAAACUUUACACACAUCAUCAUGCUCCACUGAGCUGGUGAAGUUCUCUGCCAAGCCCUCUUUGGCCAUUCGAGCCAUUGAUCUGAAGUUGGCAUGUCCGAGCCUUUGAUGCCAAAGCUUGGAGUCAUCAACAGAGGCUGUGUAUGCUGACUUUGAGUCAUUUGGCCAGUGAACCUCAAAGCAUUUAUCAGUCAUUGUGACUGUCAUAAGGCUUGAUCCACUUGGAUCAGCAAUGUGGCACUGUUUGUCUUUGAACACAACAGAAUAGCCUUUCUCGAGCAAUUGAGCUAUGCUGAGAAGGUUUCUGUCAAUCUCAGGCACCAACAAAACAUUUGAGAUGACUUUGUUGCCUGUAGAAGUGCAUAUCAACACUUCUCCUCUUCCUUCAGCUUUUAUAAACUGACCAUUUCCAACCUUAACCUUGGUUUUACAGCUUGUGUCCAAGGUUUUAAACAAAGAUGCAUCUGGUGACAUGUGGUUGGUGCAGCCACUGUCCAAUAGCCACCCUUUUGAGCAUUUCUUCUCAGCAGCUAAGCAAGACACAGCAAAGACCUGCUCUUCCUGGUCACUACUGUCUUCAGCCACUCGAGCUUCAACCUUUGGUUGUUGAAAUUGGUUCUGUCUUGGCUUGUUUCUGUUCUUACAGACCCUUUCAACAUGACCCUUCCUUCUGCAGUGUUGGCACACAGCAUCUGGUCUAAACCAGCAUCUGUCUUCUGGAUGACCUAGCUUUUUGCAAUGUCUGCAGGGCUGGUCACUGUUCCUUGCAGCAUCAGGCUUAGGCCUGUUUUUCCAGAGCCUUUUGCCUUUAUGAGUAUUGGUGCUCGAGGCUUCUCUGGCUCUAGCUUGAAAUGCACCUUCCUGGUGGUCUUCAGCUCUGCUAGCUCUCAUUUGUUCCUGAGCAUAAAAAGUGUUGAUUAGCUCAGUCAAGGAGAUGGUAGCAAGGUCUCUUGAGUCCUCAAGAGAGGAUAUCUUGGCCUCAUAUCUCUCAGGCAAAGUGGAGAGGACUUUCUCUACUAUCAUUGCCUCAUCAAAGUGCUCACCAAGGAGCCUUAUACUGUUAACCACUGCCAUGAUUCUAUCUGCAUACUGCUUCACUGUUUCUUCUUCCUUCAUCUUCAGAUUCUCAAAAUCCCUUCUCAAAUUCAACAGCUGCUGUUGCCUUGUCCUCUCAGUGCCUUGAAACUCCUCCUUAAGCUUAUCCCAGGCCUGUUUUGGAGUCUCACAAGCCAUAAUUCUGGUGAAGAUGACAUCUGACACACAGUUUUGAAUGCAGGACAUGGCUUUGUGCCUUUUGGUCCUUUCAUCAGCAUGUUGCCUGAUCUGAGCUACUGUGGGAUUGGCCCUCAGUGGUGCUGGCUCAACAUCUGUGUUGACAACUUCCCACAAAUCAAAGGCCUGCAGGUAAGUCUUCAUCUUGACCAGCCAUAUGUGGAAGCCUUCUCCAUUGAAGACUGGUGGGGCUGUUGGUGAAAAACUUGAGGAAGACAUUCAGCUUUUUUAGUUUGAUACAACAGGUCCACUAAGAAUGAAGCUCUAGAUACCAAUUGUUGGUGCAAAGAGGCAGCAGCAAAAUGUUAUUUGUCUUGCUUGGAUAGCAAGCCUCGAGCCUUGCUGAAGAAACAAACUCAGAAGCAAGAACAGAAACAAAUGUAAAAAUGGAAAACAAAAGGAGAGAGUAUUUUGAAUGAAAAGAGCUGAUAUUUUUCAUUAAAAAAUCAAGAAGGCAUAAUGCCAUUACAUAUAAUAGAUAACAACAACAAAAUGAACAAGUCAUUACCUAAUGACAUACUUAACACCACUAAAUUUACAUUGGAAAUUGUUAAUCAGCUUGCUUAAGUUUCUUUGCUGAUUUUCAGUCAAUCAAUCAACAAAAAAAAACAUCAUAAGGUUUACCAACUUAGUUCAACAUGAACUAGAUUACAAAAUAAUUAAAAAUACAAUCAAAACAUAACAAGUAGUUAGACAACUUCAAGCUCCAGUUUCUGCACUUCAUAGCUCGACUGCUUGCUGCCACUUCUUCUUGCAUGGCCACAUUUGCAUGUCUUGCAUGGGAACUAAAUUCAACACAUUGCACACUUCACAUGGUAUAUAACAUCACACUUUGAACAACAGUAACUACCAUGCUCUAUAUUGACUUCAUCAUGGUAUAUUAGGCAAUCCAAAACCCUAAAAUCUUCUAUGUGAUGGAAAUAUGUGUGAAUAAGGGGAUGGUCAUGCCACUUACUUUUGAUAAUGCGAGGCAAUGAAAUGCAAUUUUUAUGGAUUAUAAUGCUGCAUGUACCACAUGUAUAGGAAACAUGAUUUCCUUCAGUGUCACAAGCAUCACAAGUGAAUGGAACUUGUCUCAAAAACAAAGUGAAUGGAUGUUCAUGAUUUGUAUUCUUAAUAACUUGUAAUGAUGAUUGUGAUGCACAUUCAAUGUGAACAACAAACUUACAAGGAGAACAACCAUAAACAAAUCCUCUUCGCCUUGGUACUUAGCAUACAUUGCAAGAGAGUCGUUUGCUAUUAAAUUGUAGAACAAGAGGAUGCUUGCGAUGGUCACAUGAUUGAGUUUGAAAGGAAGCUCAGCGCAUUUCUCAUGUAAAUUAAAUCCACAAUCAGGAGAAAAGUGUGUACACAUUGCUAAUGGUUCCCAACAUCCAAAGCACUUACUAACAUCUUUGAGUUUUUUAUCACCAUUUUCAGUGGAAAUCAAUGGAUCAUGAAGGGCAACAUGCUCAAGCUCUUUCAAAUUAUUCUCAGCAAUAUUAAGUGUAAACAAAGCACAUUUAAUAUGAAAGUCCAAUUCACAACUAGAGCAGUGAUAAACAGACUUGUCACCAAAUUCAUGGCAGAAAGUGCAAAAGUACGCUCCAGAUAAAUGAGGUGACUUUUGCAUAAGAAGAAGAGGAUGGUUGAGAUGAAAAGGGUGAUUAAGUUCCAAAGGUGCCUCGGCACAUACCUUGUGAAGAUAAAACCCACAGUGCUCCGCACAGUAAAAACAUGGAGCAGACACUUUAUCCCCACACCUGGAGCAAUCAGUUACACCGCUUUGAUUGUCGAUCAGCUGCUCUUGAUUCAACAUAAGAAACAGGGGAUGUUGGUGCUCAUUAAACAAG
rnacentral:lncRNA from 1 species